rnacentral:lncRNA from 1 species
UUUUAAAAUUCAUGUUUUAGGUUUCCUAAGUUAAAGGUGAUUGGAUCCUAGGACGAGGUGCUCCUCCAUGUACAUUGCUCAGUAGGUUUAAUAUGACACUAAGUGUUAUCAAUCGUGCCUAGAGUCACUCCGUUGACGGUCAAGGUCUAAUUAUGUGUAUGUGAAUAUUUAAUGUGAAUAUUAAGAAUCAUUGUUAAUCUAUUAAUGAAUGUAUUGGUGGAUGAUGCCAUUAUUGAUAUAUGAUUGGGUUUUAUGAAUCGUUUUCAAAGAAAUGGUAUUUGAACAUUUCAUGCUUUGGAUUCUAAAAGAAUAGGGAUUAAUGUAUAAGAUCAAUUAAGUAGGCUUGCUUGGGCUUAAUGGGCUGAGCCCAUUGCGCCCUUGUGCUGGUCAUGGCUUGGAAAUUGGGUUGUAACAGAUGUGGUAUCAGAGCUCUAGAUUUAGAUGAGUCCUGGGAAUUCCUGUGUGGUUAGCGGAGUUGUUGGAGUCCGUGUAAAGUCUUGUCCUUGGAUUGUGGGUGCGCAACUCAAGUCAAGGACAAGAGGCUACAUGGGCCCCUACUUCAUUAGAAACUUACCUGUUCUUAUGAUGUCUAGAUGGACGAGUGAAUAAUACUUGGUUGUGUAUAGGUGGAGGUGCACCGGUUACACACGUCAUGUCUAGAAAAGACGGUAGUCCCGAUACCCCUCAUAGUACAAGCAAGAUAUCGCUAAAUUCCACUACUCAAAGCCGAUAUAUGCCCGAGGGUGAACGCGUAACAAGUAACUUGACUCGAUUUUUGAGUGGAUCGGUUUCGUCGAAAGGUAAACCCUUAUUUAAGAGCUUGAAGAGUCUCGCAAGACUGGUGCGUAAUGAAAUCGAUCUAAGGAAAAAGAACACGAACAAGAUGAAAAAAAAAGGAUUAUCUGUAAUUAUCGUCCUAGAAAGGUAUCUGUAUCCGUUGUCCGAUACUUUCCUCCUGGUUGUAGGAGAGGUGCUACACCUGUUAGUAAGGAGGAAUUUGAGAGGUAGCAACAAGCUUAGAUUAAAGAUAAAAUAGAAAAAUCUCAGGAGAUGGAAAAGGACCUAGAAGAGGAUCCGUCGAUGUGCCUGGAUUGUGGCGACGAGGAUCCUAAAGACACAUAAUAUUUUCGUUAAAGUUCGUAUCACUUUAAGUCUAGACAGAUGCGGUGUAAGGGAAAUAUUAGUAGUUAUCUGUACAAAGGAGUUAAGAGUUGGCUUUUAUUUUGUAUGACUUAAAUGGAUUAUGAAGUAGCUGUUUUAAUGACUUGAUGCAUAUUGGAGUCCUUUGAUACGAUAGAGAUAAAUUAGCGAUAUAAUGAUUUAGGGAGGAUAUUCACCUUAGUGGCAUCAUUGGUCGCCUUGGAUAAUUAUUAAGGAUCGACGUAGAAACUCAUUAAUGGUACAAGAAACUAUGAGACCUGACAAAUGAUUACCAAUUAAUCAUGGAAAGGUGAAGUUUGGAAUUCUAGUUGCAGUUACAAUUCGGAAGAAUAUGGGAGAAAUCAAUAAGGCUAUAGGUGACACUUAGAAUGGAUGUUGUGAUUAAGUCAAGGACUGUAAAAUUUAAGUAUGGAGGGAAUUACAAAAUGAUUCCAUGACAUUACGAGGUAAUAAUUGGGCACAAAUAUAGCCAAUGGAAUUAAAUUAUGGAACUUGGGAAAAGGUGAAUCCUUGAUUUAAUAAAGAUUAUGAAUGUAGAGCAUGGAGAACGAUGAACUAUUUUCAUGGUCAUUUGUACUGAAAGUCAACAGAACUAUUUGAGUUACAUGACAAGAAAGACAAUUAAUUAUGAAUGUUAAGGAAUCGUGGAAUGUCAUAAAUGGUGGAUAUUUUUGUGUGUGGUAUUAUAUAUUGAGAAUUUGAUGCACAAUAUGGCAAGAUUGUCCUAAGGUGGAACCUAUUGGUCGAAGAUAAAUGUUAAAGGAUAAAAGGAGAUUGAAAAUAUUGACUCAGCUUAGUGCAUAUGAUAAGCAAAAGAAAAGAUAUGCCUGGUCAUGAAGAUUGUGGGAUAGGCUUGGAGGAAAGCCAAAUGGUUGAGCAUGAUCCCUGUAGUAACUUUAAAGAUGGAAGAACUUAUUCGUGGAAGAAAUUUCCAGCAACCACAGUGCUAUAGCACUAACUCUUUAGCGUUGUAGCGUUGAAACUAUCCCAUGUCUAGCAGCCGCAAUGUUGCAGCACUGACUAUCCAGCACCGCAGCGCUACGAAUACCUCAUGUCUAUGAUGCAUGAGCAAGAUGGGAGUGGCACGAUAAUGAUCUUACAAGUUGAAUUAUGGUCAUUGGUCAUUGAGCUAUGUUAUUUGGGAGUUUUUAAAUGUUUCGGAGAAUGUUUACAUGAACAAAUUGAAAAGUUUCUUUAUCGCUUUGUAUAUGGGCAUAUAAUUAAAAGAGAAAUUAAAAUAUUCUUGAAAUGGCUACAUUGAGAUAAGAUAUCAUGUGAAGUAUUAAGAUGGAUAAUAUGUUGACCAAAGUCAAAUCCUAAGAAAUAAAGGAGACGAGAGAUUAAGCCUUGUUAAAGGCUAAGGAAAAGUGAGCGAAGAGUUAGAUGAAUAUAUGAGAGAUGGGUAAGGGAUGUCAAUACCAAGUAAUGAAUGUGUGAAUGAAGGAUUAAAAGGGUGGUAUAGCAAAUGGGAUAAUUCAAAAUAUCAUUAUGAGAAUUUACAAUUCUUGUCUUGACUCAGCUAAAUGAAAAGGGUUAGUAACAACACAAGGCCAAUUGUGUGGCACACUAGAAACCUAUGAAGACAAUUUGGGGAUUGAAUAAAUGAGUAUGUACUUAUAUAUCUUUAAGAAUAAGUGCAUGUCUAUAGAACGACAUGCUUGGGAUGUUAAUGAGAACAUAAGAGACUAAGUGUUUCGAGAAUGCACAAACCUCUUUGAGAAGGAAUUACUAAUCAUACACAACAAGUAUAAAAUGUGGGAUUUUUGAAACUUACUGAGGAGCCUAAUGGCUAAGUCACGGGUUAAGUAAUCACAUGCGAUGAGACAUGAGUUUAAGAUAGGUAUCCCCAAGGAAAUACUCAAGAGUAGUUCUGCUAUGAAUCUUGUGAAAGCAAGCAUUAAGUUAUGUAGUUGCAAAGAAAAAGCCGUAAGUUGAAAGUGAGAUUCGUAUUGACGUUGAAAAAAAAAUACUUAAGAAAAACCUUGUUUCAAGUCUUGCAAUUUCAAAUACAAACUACGGAUUGGUCCGGGGAGAAUGAUGUCACAUUAGUAUGAAAGAAUAAAACAAAGGAUGAUCGAAGAUAAUUUGGAUAAUGAAGCCAAUAAUGAAAACUUCCUAAGGUAGUAUGGAAAUUGGAAUUCGAAAAUGCUUAAGGCAUGCAUGAUUCGAAUGAGUCUAAAUUUUAAGUGAUUCAUUAAAGUUGAAAUGCAACAAGGAUGUAAUGUAUAUAUUAAAGGUAUGAAGAAUAAUUGAGAAAUAAGAUGACUUUUAGAGAUUGUGGUAUUACAUAAGAUGCAAUGAUCAAGUAAGAGAUAAAUCUUUGAAGGAUCAACGAGGUUAUAAAGCAUAUACGAAUACCAGAUUGCAAUUUAAUGAAAAUGACAUUUGGCGAGUGAGAUGUGAUUAAUGACAUUGUGAUGCAAGGGUAUAUAGUACAAUGAAACUUAAGCGUAUAAUUGGAAAUGAUAAGAAAAGAGUAUGGGCAUGAAAAGGAUGUGAAGCUAUGCAUAGGCAUAAUGAGAAUUCUUAUGGAUUACAUAAGAGAUAACUUAUGGUAAGAUGCGAGUGGAACGGUGAUUUAAAUAUAUAAUAAGGGUAAUCUGAAAUUGAUUAUACCCCAAUGCUCAUAGAUUAAAUAUGAGAACGUUGACAUGAACUAUGAGGAUUCUUAUAUUGAAUCUUGGAUAGGGAUAGGGAUGAAUAAAUGAAGAUGUAGUCCAAGGCACGCGAACACAUGGAUCCCUAUGCGCAACGAGGAAUGCUGAUAUUUGGAAAUGAAUGUACACACGUAUAUGUGAAAUUGAUGACUUGACCAACUGAGGUGAAGAAUUGUUCUCAGUAAUUUGAGAUUUGAACUUUAUGUAUUUGAUGAGUUGUAUAGAUGGUACAACGACAAGAAGUCCCAUUAGAAGUUGAACUAUGAUGAUAUAAGAAAGUUUGGGAAAAAUAGUCAGAGAAAUGAGAUUAAAGAAAUAUAAUCCAUAACGUGGGAAUAAUUGAAGUAUGUGGCGUAAAUGCAAGAUAAACCUGAAGUAUGUGGGAAUAAUUAGAGGCAUUAACCUUUUUCGACGUUGAGACUAUGUAUAGAAAUGAACAUGGCAUGUUUAUAAUGCUAUAGGUUACAUAAUAAUGUAUGGGGAUAAGAUGAAUGAAUGAAUGUCGAGAAGUUUGGCAAGGAGCAAAAUAAUAAGAUGGUGAUUAGGCAUACAUAAGUAAGUAUAAUAUGUGAUUGAAAUUGGUAUGAUUGAGAUAGAGUUAUCGUUCAAAUUUAAUGAUAGUGAUAAAGGCGUACUCAACAUCUUAAAAUAAGAGAUAAUGAUCGUGAAGGCUACGAUCGAUUUGAUUCUAAAGGAUGAUAACACACAUAAGUGAGGCAUUCUAAUCGAACUGGAGGUAAACGAGGUGAAUGAAUGAUUGGAGGUUUGACAAGAAUCGAAAUAAAGAUAUGUUUGAGGUUAGUGACGGAAUUAAAGGCAUACUUCGGAUCUUAUUGAUAAGAAAGAAUAAUUGAGAAGGGUACCAUGGUUUUGACUCAAAGAUGAUAAUAGAUAUAAGAUACGUACCCUAAUCUUGUAAAGUGUUCUAGUCAAAUUGAAGGUAAUGAAGUUCAUAAAUCAAAAUUCCUUAUGAAGAAGGAAAAGGAAUAAGAUCAUAGAGAGAGAUUGAUAACUCGACACCAACGUGAAUUCGAGGACAAAUUCUAUUUAAGUGGGGGAGACUAUAAUAACCCGUACUUUGAUAUGGUGACUAAUAAAGCUUAUUGGAUGCCAAUUGAGGUUAAUUAUAAUGUUUAGAAAUGAUGAAAGAUGAAAGGAAUGGUUUGAGAUAAAAUUUUCGCACACGAGGAAAAAAUAAUAAAAUAAUAAUUUUUUUUUAAGAAGAAUUUGCGAGAUAAAAAGUGAUUCGGAAGUCAAUUGAGGCAUAAUAAGGUAUUUUUGGUACCAAGGGGACAAGAUGAGACAAGAGGAAAUUUUGAAAUAAAAUAAUAUUAAAAUAUUAAUAUUUUAUUCAGUGUCAAAAUUUUUCAUGAAGGAGAAUAUGGGCAACCUAAGUGGGGGAGAAAAAGAAUGAGAAAAAUUUCGGAGAAAAAUGACGUUAAUGGGGCCGCGUGUCUUUAUUAAGUAAAGAUAGCGCAGGUAAAUAAAUAUUUUAAAUAUUAUGGGGACACUACGUUGGAGUACCAACUUCAUACUUUGUUUGUACAUAUGUAGAAGAAGAUAAUUAAAGGAAAUUAGAGUUAAAUGAGUGUUGGGAGGACUAAAUUAAAAUGGAAAGAAACUUAAAGGGUAAAAUGGUAAUUUUGCAUAAAGUUUGGUCAAAGCUUCCAAAGGAAGCGUUGACUCUCAUCCUUAUCAGCCCGAAACUGUCCUUAUCCUCCCAGCAAGAUAUUUUCUUCUUCAUUCUUGAAGCUUCCAACGCCAUUCUCUCAUUCUCCCAUGGAAAACUAAUUUUCUUUCAUUUUCUUUCCUUGUUUUCUUUUCAUUUCUUUUCUCUUCUUGCUUCAUUCUUCUCCCAACUUCUUGUGCACCAAAGUUACAACUUCUAACCCCAAUUUCCAACACAUAUAAACUCUAGGAGAAGAAGAAAGAAAAAGAGAGAAAGGAAGAAAAAGCUUGGUUUUGGUGAUUCAAGCAAGGAACGGUAAGAAUUCUUGUUUUUGGCUUGAGUAGUAUUUGAAAAUGAGUUAGUGACUUAGAGAAAUCUCUUGUGGCAGCAAAGAUUGGCUUGAUUGGAGAAAAAUUGAUAACAUGUAAGCCAAUAAACCCAUGGGUACAUGAAGGACUCAAAGUGGAAAAGGAAAACGGUAAGCUUAACACUAUGUCUUAAAGCCUAUGGUUAGUUGAAUAUUGUGGGAAAUUAUGGUUGUUGAAAGGAUCUACUUGUAUAAGCUAGUUGAAAAUUGUUAAGAUUGUAUGGCAUGUCAUUUGAAAGAAAUGAAAAAGGAAUAUUGUGGAUGGAGGAUUGAGAAACAAAGUAUUGAAAGUUAGAUAGAUAACGAUGCGCGUAAACAAGGAAAUAAUUAAGUGAAAGUGUAAAACCCGACCCUAUAAACACAUGUCAUGACAUACAUGCAUUGAGUAGCAUGUUAUUAUGCUAGGAAAGUUCCUAAGAAUAGACGAAAUUCGGUAUUGUACCUAAUGGUACACUUGAGUUGAUUUAACCUCGAACAAGUUCAAAUAGGAAUCGUAGGAUGAAAUUUAAUAUUUUACAGUCCAGGAAUGACUAAAAAUGAUUGUUCGGAGUUUGAAGGUUCAUUUGGAGAAAAAUUUAAAAUUUCCAUGUUCAGGGGUAAAAUCGUCAUUUUACCACCUAAGAUAAUAAUUUGAUCAUGGAGUGAAAUUUUUGAUCAAGAUUAACUAUUUGGAGUAUAAUUUAAUGAUAGGAAGUGAAAAUUUUCAAUUUCGGUAAUUUUUGAAACAUAGGGGCAAAACGGUAAUUUUGUCGUUUCGGGGUAAAAAUCGUAAUUUUCACCACCCAAAACUUGUCAAAAUCAUAAGAUUUAUUUAUUUUUGGUAUGAAUAACUAUGGUAUGUUAAGUGGUGAAAAAUUAAAGUUUAAAGGAUGAAAUUUUAAAAACGGGCCAAUGGGAAAGUGACACAUGGCACUUUUUAAUCAUUUAAUAUUAUUUUAAUAAAAAGUCAGCCCAUUUAAACCCCAUAUUAAGUGAUGGCCGGCCAUAAGGAAAGAACAAGAGAGAAAAUAGAGAGGAAAGGAAGAAAAGAGAAAAACCAAAGGAAAANNNNNNNNNNNNNNNNNNNNNNNNNNNNNNNNNNNNNNNNNNNNNNNNNNNNNNNNNNNNNNNNNNNNNNNNNNNNNNNNNNNNNNNNNNNNNNNNNNNNNNNNNNNNNNNNNNNNNNNNNNNNNNNNNNNNNNNNNNNNNNNNNNNNNNNNNNNNNNNNNNNNNNNNNNNNNNNNNNNNNNNNNNNNNNNNNNNNNNNNNNNNNNNNNNNNNNNNNNNNNNNNNNNNNNNNNNNNNNNNNNNNNNNNNNNNNNNNNNNNNNNNNNNNNNNNNNNNNNNNNNNNNNNNNNNNNNNNNNNNNNNNNNNNNNNNNNNNNNNNNNNNNNNNNNNNNNNNGUACAAUGAUGAUGAUCUGAUUUUUAUUCUAAGAGAAAUGAAGAGAAAAUGAUGAAAAAUGGUUAAAUGUGAUAGAAAAACAAAGUAGAAAAUUUACUAAGUUAAUGUCCCAUUUUUGGCCAAAUUUUCCAAGGAGGAAAGUGAACUGAUUUUGGUGACUUUAGAAUGCUAUUGGCUGAUAAUUAAUGGUUAGAAAUGUUGGAGAGAGAAUGGGGUGAUUUAGAGCUAAAAUGGAGCGCGUUAGCAAUUUAUCGGGUAAAGUGCCAAAAAUAGAUUAAUACCGUGUUUAAGCCAUUUUAGGCUAUUGCAUUUCAUACCAUGCAUUAGUAUAGGAUUUAAGUCAAUUAUAUAGUGAUUUAGAAUCAAUGUGGUAAAUUGGGUAAAUUUUGCAAUGUGUUUAGGAGGAAAGCCUUUCUGUAAAGGCAAGAAAGUCGUACCCGACCAACAGUGAUCGGGGCACCUAGGAAGCAUUUCAUCUGUACAAAGGGUGAGUAAACCUAUUAUUAUUGUAAAUUAUCUAGAGUUUAUUUUUAAAUGCUCUUUAUGUAUUUUAUGAAAUGAAAAUGAGAUUAAAACCGGAUUUUUGAUGUUUUAGAAAUAAAUGUGACAAAUAAAAAUAUAUUAUGUUGAUUAUGAAAUUGACAAAUUAGAGGCUACCAAUUGUCUUGAAAAUAUAGUUUCUUAUGAAUGGCUUAUGAUAUAUGAGUAUAUGUGGCUAUAUUUUAUAAUUGCAUUGGGAAUAGAAUGUAAGCUGCCUUUUACUAUGCAGGUAGGAUAAAUAAAUAAAAGCCACGUUAUACUAUCAAAAUUUUAUUAAAAUUGGUGGGUUUAGUCACUACAGUGACGGGUUUCCGUGGACUGCCUAUUAGAGGGGCACCGUAAACCCGAUUUCAUAGUUACUCCAAUUGUAGAGGCGAAGAGGGUAACUCCCGAGGUAGUGUUAGGGUUCACUUCACGUUGAACCCCCACGUGAAUGUGUAACUCGGCCAACGCCAAGGAACGGCUUGUUUUAAAAAUAAAAAUGUGUUUCACAUGUAAAUAUCUUAACAACCUUGGUGGACUCGAUUAGAUGCCUCGGCCAAGGUAUCCCCGAGGAUUAGUUUUGGCUUGAGCCUUGUUUUUAAUAAAAGUCAUAAGCCUUAACAACUGUUUUGGUAAAUUACAAAUAUUUUAUGGUUUAAGAAAUAAAUUGAAAACCUUACGAAAUGGUUUGUAAUUUGUUGUUUAAACUUGCCUCCAAGUUACUCGCCUUUAGAUAUUUAUGAUAAUGUCUGUUUACUCAUUGGGAUUACAAAAUCUCACCCACCUCCUUUCGAAAUAUUUCAUGCCUGUGGUAGCUUGUAAAUACCCGAUUUUGUUUGAGGAUUAUAGUUGACCCCUCUAUCUCACAGACAGUAGGUUACUAGCACCAACAUUGGGUGUAUUUUGGGCCACUUGUCAUUGUAAUUAUUAUUGUACAUUAUAACUUUGUAAAUUUUUGUAUGUAUGAAUUUAUUUUACUUUCACGUUACAAAAGAUUAUUUACACGUGUUUCUAUUUUAUAUUGUUUUAUAUAAAAAAUGAUAUAUUUUUGUCUUUUGAUUUACUUGAGCCAGAAACGACUGGUAAAUGUUUAAAACGGAAUAUUUAAAAACGAUUGCUCACAAGAAAGGCAAGAAACUGAUAUGUAAGCCUUGCAGGGUUCUGAUUGGCAUUCCAAGUAAUGAGUGUCAAUCGAGACAUCGCGGCGGUUGUCAUGGGCCUGAGGGAGGUUCCGAGUCAUGACAGAAAGUGAGAAUGAUUGUUGUUGCCAUAUAUGUGGAUUAUGUGUGGAAAUAUAAGAUGGAUUUGGGUGGAAAUUAUUUAGAAAGGCUGAAGUAGACACGUGACAUCAUAAUUAAGUUAUCGGUGAUAUAAUUUAAGGAAUUACAUAAGCAAUGGAUGUAAGUAAUAUUAGUAAAAAUGUAUUAAGAUGUGAGUUAAUUGAAGAUGGUUUCAUGAUAGGAGGAAAAAUAUAAAUUUGAGUAAGAAUUAAUUGAUUGAAAUGCUGCUCGUAUACAUAUGUAAUUAAAUAUAUUGAGUUCAUAUUAUUGCUAGGAAGUGCAAAGAUAAAGUUAGAGUAUUGUGGGGGCGUGCCGGAGUAAAUAACGAGCAACCGGCCAGUGAAAAUAGUUAGAGACACCUCCGAACAAAUAGCAACUUAAUAUCUCGUUGUUUCCAGGUGAGUGAACUUGUAUUAAAAUGUUUUGGAAUAAAUGAUUUUAUACUUGAUUGAGCCACUUGAAAUAUUUUGUUGGUUUUUCUUUAAAAGUUGCAUGGGAACAAGCCCUUGAUGAAAUGUUUUGAUAUUAUAAGAUAUGAACAUGAUGAAUUCAUGAGUUUCUACAUUAUGUUGAUGUGUAUAUUAUACAUUAAAUGAUAUUUUUGUGUGAUAAUUUUGACCCAGCCAUGUGCGGUGUAGAAGUGUACAUGAGCUGUGCUGACCCAACCAUGUGCGGUGUAUGAGUGCACAUGAGUUGUGUUGACCUGGCUAUGUGCGGUGUGGUAGUGCACAUGUCAAGCCCGACUCUACAAUAUGUUUAUUAUGCCAUUCUUACAUAAGAAUGCAUAUUUGCUUACUUGGGUAUCUCAAAAAUCGUUAAAGGACGGUAUUGUACCAAAGGUACAAUUAAGUUGAAUUAAACCUCGAACUAGUCCAAAUAGAGAUUUUAAGAUGAAAUUGAUAAUUUUAAAACCCCAGAAUGACUUAAAAUGGUGAUUCGGAAUUCAAGGACCGAUUUGGAGUCAAAUUGGAAUUUUCAUGACCUAGGGACAAAAUGGUCAUUUUACCACCCAAGGUUAAGAUGUGAGUGUUGGAUGAAAUUUUUUACUAAGAUUGAUCAUUUGGAGUAUAAUUUGAGUUUGAGAAGUGAAAAAUUUUAAUUCUGGCAUUUUUUCAAGCAUAAAGGGUAAAAUAGUCAUUUUGCCAUCCCGAGGGCAAAAUUGUAAUUUUGCACCACCCAACACUUGUCCAGCACAUGGAUUUUACCCAAUAUUAUCAUGGAUAAUUGAGAAAAUUUAAGUGGUGGAGAGAGAUUGCUUAAUGGCUAAGUAUGACACAUGGACCAAUGGAAUGGUGACAUGUGUCAAAAUCUCAUCCAUUUAUUAUUUAGCUUAAAAAUCAACACAUAAACUCUCCCAAUUCAUUUCUCAUGGCCGGCCAUAGCAAGAACAAAGGAAGAAAAGAAGAACAAAAACCCUAGGUGGAAAAAUUCAAGGGAAAAGUGUGAAAAUUCAAGUAAUCAAGCAAUCAAAGGUAAAAUUUCUUGAUUUUGACUUGUGAUCUACCUUUNNNNNNNNNNNNNNNNNNNNNNNNNNNNNNNNNNNNNNNNNNNNNNNNNNNNNNNNNNNNNNNNNNNNNNNNNNNNNNNNNNNNNNNNNNNNNNNNNNNNNNNNNNNNNNNNNNNNNNNNNNNNNNNNNNNNNNNNNNNNNNNNNNNNNNNNNNNNNNNNNNNNNNNNNNNNNNNNNNNNNNNNNNNNNNNNNNNNNNNNNNNNNNNNNNNNNNNNNNNNNNNNNNNNNNNNNNNNNNNNNNNNNNNNNNNNNNNNNNNNNNNNNNNNNNNNNNNNNNNNNNNNNNNNNNNNNNNNNNNNNNNNNNNNNNNNNNNNNNNNNNNNNNNNNNNNNNNNNNNNNNNNNNNNNNNNNNNNNNNNNNNNNNNNNNNNNNNNNNNNNNNNNNNNNNNNNNNNNNNNNNNNNNNNNNNNNNNNNNNNNNNNNNNNNNNNNNNNNNNNNNNNNNNNNNNNNNNNNNNNNNNNNNNNNNNNNNNNNNNNNNNNNNNNNNNNNNNNNNNNNNNNNNNNNNNNNNNNNNNNNNNNNNNNNNNNNNNNNNNNNNNNNNNNNNNNNNNNNNNNNNNNNNNNNNNNNNNNNNNNNNNNNNNNNNNNNNNNNNNNNNNNNNNNNNNNNNNNNNNNNNNNNNNNNNNNNNNNNNNNNNNNNNNNNNNNNNNNNNNNNNNNNNNNNNNNNNNNNNNNNNNNNNNNNNNNNNNNNNNNNNNNNNNNNNNNNNNNNNNNNNNNNNNNNNNNNNNNNNNNNNNNNNNNNNNNNNNNNNNNNNNNNNNNNNNNNNNNNNNNNNNNNNNNNNNNNNNNNNNNNNNNNNNNNNNNNNNNNNNNNNNNNNNNNNNNNNNNNNNNNNNNNNNNNNNNNNNNNNNNNNNNNNNNNNNNNNNNNNNNNNNNNNNNNNNNNNNNNNNNNNNNNNNNNNNNNNNNNNNNNNNNNNNNNNNNNNNNNNNNNNNNNNNNNNNNNNNNNNNNNNNNNNNNNNNNNNNNNNNNNNNNNNNNNNNNNNNNNNNNNNNNNNNNNNNNNNNNNNNNNNNNNNNNNNNNNNNNNNNNNNNNNNNNNNNNNNNNNNNNNNNNNNNNNNNNNNNNNNNNNNNNNNNNNNNNNNNNNNNNNNNNNNNNNNNNNNNNNNNNNNNNNNNNNNNNNNNNNNNNNNNNNNNNNNNNNNNNNNNNNNNNNNNNNNNNNNNNNNNNNNNNNNNNNNNNNNNNNNNNNNNNNNNNNNNNNNNNNNNNNNNNNNNNNNNNNNNNNNNNNNNNNNNNNNNNNNNNNNNNNNNNNNNNNNNNNNNNNNNNNNNNNNNNNNNNNNNNNNNNNNNNNNNNNNNNNNNNNNNNNNNNNNNNNNNNNNNNNNNNNNNNNNNNNNNNNNNNNNNNNNNNNNNNNNNNNNNNNNNNNNNNNNNNNNNNNNNNNNNNNNNNNNNNNNNNNNNNNNNNNNNNNNNNNNNNNNNNNNNNNNNNNNNNNNNNNNNNNNNNNNNNNNNNNNNNNNNNNNNNNNNNNNNNNNNNNNNNNNNNNNNNNNNNNNNNNNNNNNNNNNNNNNNNNNNNNNNNNNNNNNNNNNNNNNNNNNNNNNNNNNNNNNNNNNNNNNNNNNNNNNNNNNNNNNNNNNNNNNNNNNNNNNNNNNNNNNNNNNNNNNNNNNNNNNNNNNNNNNNNNNNNNNNNNNNNNNNNNNNNNNNNNNNNNNNNNNNNNNNNNNNNNNNNNNNNNNNNNNNNNNNNNNNNNNNNNNNNNNNNNNNNNNNNNNNNNNNNNNNNNNNNNNNNNNNNNNNNNNNNNNNNNNNNNNNNNNNNNNNUAUGAAUUUAUUUUGCUUUUACGCUGUAAAAAUUAUUUAUGCAGUGUUCUAAAAAUAUUGUUUUAUGAGAAAAUUGAAUAUUUUAUUCAAUAUUUUUAUUUUAUUCUAAUAGUCAUAAUUUCAUUUUAAACGAAUGUUUUAGACAUCCAAAUUUAUUUUUGAUUAUGAAUUAUGUGUUUUGUACUCGCAUACUAUAUUUUUAGCGGAUUUCGAGAUUUUUGAGAAAAAAUAACCAAAAUGCCCUUGUGAGAAAAAAAUUAUUUUUUUCUAUUGUUUUGAUUUGAAAAUAGUUUAUAGUCUCUCAAAACAUAAUUUUAGUAACUAAUACUCACAAGGGAAGCAAGAAAAACUAAUGUUAAGCCUUGCGAGGUUUCGAUUGACAUUCCGAGUAAUGAAUGUCUAUCGGGACGUCGCGGCGGUUGUCCCAAGCUCAAUGGGAGUUUCGAGUCAUGACAGCACAUAAGCUGAGACAGAGUUGGGGGUGAGGCCGGUGGUUAUACAUAUGUUUUUAUAUGAUAUAUAUAUAUAGAGAGGUUUUGAAAAUUAUAUUGUGGUUGCGUUGAUUUUUGAAUGUUAAAACUUGAGAAACGGUUUCCACUUGAUUUUCACCGCAGCAAAGAUAGAUUUCCAUUGUGACAAGAAAUUGAGUUAAAUUGCAUUGUCUGCAACAUAAAUGCAUCAUGAUUUCUAAAAUCUCUCAUAUUGAUGCUUGUUCCCUUCCUAUGUUCACUCAUUGAGUUUAUAAUCACGUUUUUAAAAUGCAUGUUUUAGGUUUCCUGAGUUAAAGGUGAUUGGAUCCUAAGACGAGGUGCUCCUCCUUGUACAUUGCUCGGUAGGUUUAAUGUGACACUAAGUGUUAUCAAUCAUGCCCAGAGUCACUCCGCUGACGAUCAAGGUCUAAUUAUGUGUAUGUGAAUAUUUAAUGUGAACAUUAAGAAUCAUUGUUAAUCUAUUAAUUAAUAUAUUGGUGGAUGAUGCCAUUAUGAAUGUGUGAUUGGGUUUUAUGAAUUGUUUUCAAAGAAACGGUAUUUGAACAUUUCGAGCUUUGGAUUCUAAAGGAAUAGAGAUUAAUGUAUAAGAUCAAUUAAGUAGGUUUGCUUGGGCUUAGUGGGCUGAGCCCAUUGGGCCCUUGCGUCUGUCAUGGCUUAAAAAUUAGGUUGUGACAGUAAUCAAGCAAGUUAUGAUUCUGAUAUCGAGGGUAAAGUUAUUGAUAAGUCUAGGGUAUGCAUUCCUUAUGCACUCGAUGAGUGUGGAAAAGUGAGGUUGGUCGAGAAUUUGUUGUUUAACGGUAUUAGUCAAUUUAGGGAGGUCGUGACAAACUAUAUGAUUGAAGAAAGAAUUGAAUUAUAUAGGGCUAAGAAUGAAAAGACUAGGUAUGAGGCAUAUUGUAAGGGGAAUGGUUUUUAAUGGAUGAUUCAUGCAUCAGUCUAUUUAGAUAGGAAGACAUUCAAGAUUAAAAAGCUUGUGGAUGAAUAAGUCAGCAAUAACCAUGUUGCUACAACAAGUGUGUGGAUAGCCAAAAAGGUAGUUUAUCAGUUGCAUUAUGAACCAAAUAUGUCUUACAACUUGAUAUAGUAUAAACUAACUCGGAAGUAUGGUAUCAUAAUUAAUCCCAAGAAGCUUUAUAGGGCUAAGAAAAGAGCUUGAGAAUUUGAAAGGAUCAUGCCAGGUCAUACACAUACCUGUAUUUAUAUACUCAAAUGUUAAGUGAUAUUAAGCUUGGUAACAUUAUUAUCAUGCAAUUAGAAAGCCUUGAAAUUAAUAUUAAUGUUGAUGAAUCUUUUUCCCAAUCAAAGAGGAAGUGCCUAAAAUCAAACUCCCAAUUCCCUUUAUCCACCCAUACUUCUUUCACCGUAGCUCUCUUAUUAUUCACAAUUGGAAAGAGUCUAGGGAAAAUUUCCAUAAAAGGGAAAUUAGAAACCCAUUUAUCAAGCUAAAACAAAAUGUGUUUUCCAUCACCCACAACCCACCUACAACUCUGCUUACUGACAGCCAAAACAUAAUUUAAAACGUAACUAAGCUCUUAGUUAAUUUUGGGUAUUAGGAGUCUCAAAAGCCAAGAAGGAAGAAAACGAAGAAAGGAAAAGAGAAAGGAAAAAAAGAAGGAAAAAAAAAAGGAGGAAAAAGGAAAAGGGGCCACUAAUGGUGGUGUCUUUAAGAAGAAGAAAUAAGAAAAAAUUGGCAACAAGAAGAAUGAGGAAGAAGAAAGAAAGGAAAGAAGGAAGAGGGGCCACUAGUGAUGACACCACUAGAGAGAAGAAAAAAGGAAAAGAAAAAGAAGAAGGGGAAUGGAAGAGAAUAAAGAAAGAAAAAGAGAAAAGAAAAAAAAAGGAAAGAGAAUCGGUUGGCUAUGUGGCUAUUUUUUUUUUAUUUGACAUGUAAAUGCCAUGUUAACAUAGUCUGAUAUGCUCAAGGUUAUGUCAACAUCUCUAAUGGUCAGUUUAAACGGAGUUACUCAUAUGAAUCAAAUUGCACACAAUGUUCAAAAAACUACGAUUAAAUUAUCAAAAUUUUGAAUAAAGUAACUCAAUUGAACAAAACACUUUUGUAUAAGGACUUCUUGAGUAUUUUGAUCAUUUUUAUAUUGUUAUUUUGAUUAAUUUCUGUUAAUUAUAAUUUUUAGUAUAAUUAUAAAUUAACGAUCAUAAGACUUAUCCCAUGUAUAGAGAAAAGUUCUAAUUCUAUUGAAUCAUUUUAUUAAAAAGUGAUUUACUUAUCUUAGAAUUCUAUAUUCCCUAUAUUUCUAAACUAUAACCAUAUUAAUUGAAUAAAUAAAAAACUUAAUUUCAAAUAAUGAAAAAGAGAUUUAAGUGCAACUAUAUAUCCAACAUCUAAUAAAUUUUUUAUUAAUCUUAUAAUCAAAAUCUAGAAUAAUAAAAAAAAAAACUAAUAUGUUAAAUCAAAUGUAAUGCAAGUGACAUUAAAACUCAUAAUUGACAAAAAAAAAGUGUUAAAAGAUUUUAGCUAGGCUAUGCUUGACCGCCACUCAACGUAAAAUCUCUAUUCCUUUGAUGAACUCCACUUAAGGCCUUGCAAAGGCACUUCCUAAUUUACUCUGCUUAUAACCCAAAAGAAAAAAACAGAAGAUUAAUUUAGAUUAAAAUUCCAACUGUGCAUCAUUAGAACCAGACGCUUCGUUUGCUUAUUACUAAAAAGAAUAACAACCAGCAAAUUAUCAGUUAAAAUACCUGCAUUUCUUCCAUGAGAAAAUUGCAAUCCCAGAGCUAUAACUCGAAUCCCACUAUAGUCCCAUAAGUGUUGAAAUAUUAUACCUACACUGUUUUGUAAUUAAAUUGUUACAGGUAUAUAAAUUAACAACAAAUGAAUUACAGAACCAAAAUUUUUGAAGUAAGCCAACUCAAUGUCCGUGUUGUCUCAGUCUCGGCAGCAAGUUCGACUGAAGCUCCACUUGAGCAGGCUUAAUCAAUUUCCAAGUUGUUCUGUUCACUUACAAGGUCGCUGGACAUUCGGGAUGGUAUUCUGUGACGUUCUAGAAUUCUGGAAGUAGCAAUUCUGGCUGAUUCAAACUUUAAUGCAACUACCCUGUCAUCAUCCAAAUCAAACCUCAAGCUCUCUGUGCUACAAUUUUCUACAAGCUGGCACAAGUGCUUUAGAUUUUGAAUUUCAAUUCCAUUGACUUUCUUGACCUGUCAUCCACAUAGUUUAAUUUUCUUAGAAGAGAAUUAACCAUGCAUGCAAUAUAUAAGAAUGCAUACAUAAUUACAUGGACACACUCCAGGUUUAGAAUUCAAAUCCAGUAACAGCAUUAGUACAAACCAUUAAAUUGAGUGGGUCAACAAACAGCUAGAAUUGUCUUAUCAUUCCCAACCAACAAACGCUAUGCAAACAGACAUCUGAUCCUUAAUUAGAUUGCCUUGGAAUUUCCAACCAGUAUUUGCCCAUUAUCAGAAUUGAUGCAGAAUGCAAAUGAGCUAAUUCAAAGAUUAACUUACUUAAAGAUUUUAUUUUGUUACUUUGUCGUGUUUUACGGGCUUUAUUUGCAAUUUUAUACAUAGAUUUAGGGUUAUAUUUGCUAUUUUCAGCUAAAUUAGGGCUUACGAUCUUAGAUUGUGUUUUUCUUAUCCUAUUAGGUUGUAUUCUAAGUUAGGUUAGUUUUUUUUUGGAAUCUAAGAACUUUUUAAGCUGUUGCUUCUACUUAAAUUAUUGGAAAGCUUUUAUUUGGAGUCUAAGAAUUUUGAAGCUCCUACUUCUACUUAAUAUAUUGCAAUAAGAGUCUGUUUCUUUUAGAGUUAGGAUUGGUAGCAUCCUAUAUAAAUCAAUGUACACAUUCUAUUGACAUAAACAAUAUUACGAGAGAAUUUAUAGCAUUAGUCCUAUUGUGAUUGUGUCAUGCAGAAAACCUUAAAAGUGUGCUCCGGAAAGAACCUCAAGUGGGAAACCUAGCUUUUUUGCAUUUUUCUUGUUCUUGUGAUACAAUCAAGGAGCCCUAAAAGUAAAGCCUUAGGAUCAUAUUUCUUCUUCUCUUUUUUUUAUUCAAUAUUUCUUCUUUCCUCAAAAAUUGACAAUUGAAUAUUGCUAUAAAACCUAAUAUCCUAGCUCUCCUACAUCAUCAGUUGGGCUUGGCCGAGUCAAACUAUUUUGCUCCGAAUGCAAACAGUUAUAUAGUUAUAAUUGUCUUAACUGACAUCUGAGAUUUAUAAGGUCACCAGUUUUAUGCCUAGUGGUUUCCUAUCAUUUGAAGUGGCCCCUUCAAUAAUUACUUUCUCUUGCUCCUUCCAUCCCCACCCCCAACUACCAAGAAACACACAAGCAAGCAUGCUAGUUGUUGGUUUGUAGGAAGCUCAAAACAUAAAAGAAAGAUGAUCAAAAGAAAAAUAAGAAAGAACCUGUAAUUCAGCAAGACGCUCAUAGCCCGCAUUGAUAUCAUCCAUCAAAACCUGAACCAAAUAACUGCUUGUCAAGAAAGUGAAAGUACAUGGAACAUAGAAAAUCCUACGCUUUAGCAAUUAAACCCUAACGAAUUGAUUAAGUUUCCCCUUUUUUGGGGGCAAGAAAAACUUCAAGAAAGAACUUUUCCAAAUUUUGAGAUUAAGCUUUUUUAUAAUGAGUGAGAAGGUAUGGACAGUAGCAUCCUAGAUUUCAAAGGCAAAAUCAUUUGCCAAAACAAAUGAAGCUUCUUCUUACAUCCAUUCAUCUAUGACACAGAUUUUGCUUGUCGCGGAGCUGAAUUUUACAAACUACAAAGUUUUCUUCUAAAAGAAGCCAUUAUGCACUAAUGCUGUCAAAGAAGUCAUACAGACCUGAGACAGGAUUACGAGUUGUUCCCCAGCCUGUUUAGGCAGCUCUCUUAGAGCACGUUCACAGAGUCGACGGGGUGACGUAUUAUACCAGUCUUCCCCAUACUCAUGUAGGUAUGGCUGGGUUAGUGGAACAAAAACCAGACCAGCAAAAAUGUAAUAACUAGGAAGCUUAUCAAAUUGAUGAACUGGAACCAGUGGCUGCAACUGUAAGAUCAAGUAUAACAAAACUAAUAAAUCCAUAUUGUAAAAAUCAAGGUUAAUUUCAUCAACAGUCAAACAACAAACUAACAUAGAUGCUUUUUUUCCCUUUACUUUAUCAUGAAUUACAGCAAUCACAGAUUUUGCAAGUUGAGGAAAAAAAACACAAAAUUGACAAAAGUAAUCCUUUUUUGGUCCAAGAAUCGAGUCCACGAUAAAUGUUAGAUCCUUAAUUCAUUAGGACUUGCAGUUAUGGUUUUGGUUUUAGGUGUAAGAAAGGAGAAACAAAUUGUAGCAUACAAUUUUAUGCCUUUUUAUUAUUUCUGUUGUGAGGUUUUGGGGGGAGGUGUUACAGCAGGAAAGGCUAUGCCCGUGGCAUCAGCAUGCAUGAGCAUAACAAUUUCAUACAGAGGAACAUGAUGGAUGUCCAAUCUCCAUGGUUGUGAAAGCUACGUUUGUCCAUUCAAUCCACAGUGAUGUUUUUCUACCAUGAGAAAUAUCCUAACUUUCCAAUUGUCUUGGAACUGUAGCCAGUUCCUAGCAAACCUUGAUCAGACGUUAUGAGGAUGAUAUCUAUUGUACCUUGAUCAGUAGCAAAAACUUCCUUCUUCCUCCAUAUGUGAUGGUGUUUACAAUGGUAUUGUUCAUUUCAUUGAAGCAGAUGAUGCACUAGAGUAUUUCACCCUCAGUCAGCUUCUAAUAGCGCUCAAUUAACAGCUAUAAUAAAUGUUUUCUGGGCACAGAUCUGACAAAUAAUGAGCCCGUAAGUUUGAUGAGGAUGGCAGACUAUUGAGUUUUUGAAAUGUAAAAUCUUGUUAAAAACAAGUUUCAAUAUGAUUUUUAUUCUUCAAUAAUAGUUUCUUCUAUUCUACUUCCUGUUCUUUAUCCUUUCUUCUUUACAAUACUCUUAUCAAAAACAAAGCCUCGUUUCCAUAAUCAACUUCUGGCUCUCAGACUGAAUCAUUCCUAACUCUUCCAGUAUCAAAACUAAUGUCAAACUAUCAAGCUAAAAUUUAAAGAUUCUAAGAUUGUCCUGCAUAAUAAUGUCUUUGGAAUGUUCUGAUUGGCACACAAAAACCUCCGCCUGUUAGAGCUUGACCAUGCAGGUCCAGCAUCAUCAUAUUAUUUUUAAAGCAGACUGAACAAUGAAGAUCAACAUGAGAUGCUAGGUUUCAAAUGAGGUCUCUACUUUUGAGCGUAAGACUAACAUAUGCCACUGGUACACACAAGUUUUACAUUUACAAACAUCAAAUGAAACAAAUCAAUGUAUAAUGCAGCUUUGAAUAGUUAUAGUUUCAAACAGCGGGUUGUUGGGGGAUUUGGUCAUUGUACAAACACAGAAAAAGCAAAGAUCCUGUAUCGCCACCAAUUUUAUUGUUCUGUACACUCUACACUGCCUUGUUUUGAUUCUAUUAUUCUAAAAUCAACUCUCAGCCUUAAUUUGAAUCCCCAUCUCUACAAAAUACUUUUGAUACUUGAACUUCAUUCCAGUUAUUUCUUUUAAAAAAAGUUUCCUCCGACAUCUUUACAUGCAAAAUCCCCAGAUAUUCACUAUCUAGUGAACACAAAACAUGCUUAUUCCAACAAUUUUGAAUUGACUGCAUGUAUCAUAAAACAAAGGUACAACAAGUAUACAUUUUAACUCACUUUUCCAAUACUCCAAUUAAUCUAUUUCCUUUCUUAUAACAACAGUUUUAAAGGCAUUUAUGGGGGGAGGAAGGCAUCUGUGAUUAAAAUGAAAAAGAAGAAAUAAUAAUUUAUUCAGCCACAGAUGAUAUUCUAAAUAACAGCAAGGCAAGAUAUGAUCAAAUUUAGAAAUCACUACAGGUUGCGUGAAUGGUGAAGUCUUGCUAUUUACCAUUCCUCAAGACUUUCGUUAAUGCAGUUUCACUGGGUUUUCACAUGGACCAGACAUUAUUGAAUUUAAUUAAUCUUUGGAACAAUUACUCACAGGUCGAAGGGUGAUGGUGAAAGCAUGCUCUUCACCAUUUCUCAAGACUUUAACUAGAGCAGUUUCAUUGGGUUUCUUCAUAGACACCAAAUGAUCAAAUGUUAUCCGCUCCCUGUUUCGAAAAGGAACUGCAAUGUGUGUAAAUUAGACACCAAAUUAAAAAUUAAAAAAAAAUUAUGAAUACUGAAAUGAUUAUCACCCUAGCAAAAUAUUAUCCAAAAGAAAAAGCAAACAAAAUUUCAAUCCUCAAGUGUCUCACUUUCAUGAAAUCAAACAAUUUUUCCUCCUUAUAGUCUCAAAGGUAUGUCUCCUUCUUUAGUCAUGUUACUGGGAAAUAAAACAAGCAUCAGUAGGAAAAAGGACUCAAUGAUAUCCAUACGUGGGUGUCAGAUUAUUUUAUCAUUGGAAUCCUUGAUUGUUGAGUAUCAAUCACACUUGCAAAAUGUUCAUAGGAAAAGUGUUGAAUCUCACUUGAAAUUUAAAAAAAAAAAACAAACAAUAAUGAGUAAAGACUAUAAAGCAAGUACCAGUUCCAUCAUUUGCUAUAGGCACACCAUCAAAUUCAAGGAUUAUAUCAUCCUUGUUUAGAACUCUGUGUGCAUCAGACAAAGGAUUAAUUUUGCUCACAAGUACACCAGUCAUCUGAGGUUGCAUUUUGAAGUGAUUACGAAGCUGGACAUUUUCUGUAGGCUGGCAUGAGAGACCCAUAGAGCAGAAUCCCACAUAUUUUCCACUUUCCUCUACACCAGCUAUAAAAUGCUUUAUUACGGGAACAGGAAUUAUAUAGCUGCAUAUCAUAACAAAUAAAAUAAAAAAUAAAUCAAUAAUUAAACAGACAGAAUUGUCCAUCAAAUGCUUUUGAAGUGGUAAAAAGUUAAUUUAAGUUUCAAUAACGUAUAGUGUAGACAUGUCUUCCUUAGUUUUGAUCUGAUAUUUAUGUAAGUUGUUGCACUUUCAGAUAAUAUAUUCUAAAUAACACCCUUGUUUAUUAACUUUAAAGAGCCAAAUUCUACAGUAUAUCAUAUUUCAUUAUUGAAAUAUCAGAACAUAUAGUCUUUGAAUUCUCAAAGCAUUGUUUUGAGCGCAAAAUACAUUAAAAGCUUCCUUCUAAUCAUUAUGGCCAAAAUGUCUAGCAUUUAGCAAGCCUUAAAUGGUUUUUCUUUAAAAAAAAGAGUUCUUUUUCCAUUCUUUUAUUUAUUUGUUUACUUUCUCUUUCUUUCUUUUUUUUUUUUUUUUGGUGGUCCUUGUUUUCAUCCACAGUUAAGAAGACCUGAAACGUAUGAUGCAUGACUUGGGAACUGAUUGCUAAAUAGUGAGUAGACUGAUAUAGCAAAGGAGUAAAUAAACACGUAGGCAACAAGUUAAAACUACAAGCUUCAUGUUUAAAACAUUGUACAGUGUUUAGCACACACCAGGAUUAAUAAUAGGAUUGGCUAAUAAUUGUUAUAUGCUAUCAAAACUAUUUGAAAAAAAUUGAAGCAACAACAAAGAGGAAUGCAAGCACUUGAACACCCCACCAAAUACAGUGCCAAAUUGUAGAAACCCUUAAUAAAGAAAAGUUUUACCGCCGUAAGUAUCAAAUGGUCAAUAUUAGAAAACCCAAAAGCUAAAUGCUACUUGCCAAAAAGGCAAACUCACAACUCACCCUAUAUUUUCAGCACCUGAAAGGUUUUGGAAAGCUACACCAGCAACUUUGUUGCCCAUGAUUGCAGGGCCCCCACUAUUCCCUGGGUUUAUAGCUGCAUCUAUCUGUAUUGCCAUCAGCUGGGUAGCACCAUGUACAUAUUGUGUAGGCUCAACUCUAGAAACAACCCCUUUAGUAACAGAAAUGUUGUCCCCUCCUGCAUCCAGGGAAGAAGUGCACAGCAUGUGAAAGUAAAACAUUAAGUAAUUCCUAAAUGAAUGUUCAACAUCCUGUUAUUUGCCUACGAGGAAAGCUUCAAAGCCUAAUAACUUAUUGUCAUAUAAAGAAAAAAUAUUCUUCCAUGGCCAUGAAAUUACACAAAUGGGACUUACUCAAGUAAUACUUCAAAUUACAGCAUGCUGAGGUAAAGACUUACAAAUGAGGUUCUAACAAAUGAAAAAGACUAAAAACAGGCAAGAUAGGAUCUCAGCUCUAACAAUUACUAAGCAUUGAAAAGUGAUACCUCAUCAAUAUAGAGACUGAUGUGUGUUUGCUAGUUUUUCCCAGUUGCUUUACUAUGUUAAAUAUAGUCUUAAUCCCCCUAGCUCACAUGGGACAUAUUUAGAAUUGCAAUAACUAUCAGAUGGUCCUAGCCGGCAAAUACAAAUAGUCAUUGUAGCUUCAUUAACUCAAACAAGGCAGGAAAGGGAAAAGCAGAGAAUCAGAAACUUGAUACUAUUAAUUAGGAAAUUAAAAAGGUGGAUUUUUUUUUUCCAUGGUUACCUUGAGGAUACCCAACAACAGCAACAGCUUCUUGCAAAAAUGGAAUGUCUCCGAGCUCCAAGAAAUUCACACCCUCCCAGAACUCUUGGCUUUCCACAACAAGAAUAGCUAAGUCACAUUCAUGACCAACAGCUAGAACCUCCGCUCUAUAUUUAGUGGGAGAGCCGUGUUUUCUAACAAGUACAAAUGUAUGAUCAGCCACCACAUGAGCAUUUGUAAGAAUCUUUUUUCCCGGAAUGACAAAUCCUACAGUUAAGAAAUAAUGAGUAAGCAAAGCUCAGAAGAAAAUGGAGACGGGGUUCUUUUUCUACUUGCCUGAGCCCAUGGUUUCGCGUUGUGACUUAUUCUGCCAAGGAAGGAAAUAGUUGGGGCUGCUGGUAACCGUGAAGAUCUUCACCACAGAGUCCAAUGCCAGCUCUAUUGCCAAAUAUGCAUCUGUUUCUGUAUGGAGAGACCGUUUGCUUCUAACCACGUACCACCGCUGAAUGCUACUCUGUCUCUCACCAAUAUCAAAAAUACUAAUGCUGCUUUCACCCUUGCAACAUAAAGGAAGGACUUUGCGUUUACUGACGGUGAUGCCAUUCCUACAACAAUCUCUCCCCAACAACAACAAAGACGACGAGUUAUUACAACAUCUUAGCCUCCGCAAUGUACGGACUGAAGAACCCAGCAUCCUUUUUGCUUCUUCGCCGAUGGAGGAUGAAAGGAGGCCAAGAGGGGCAAAGGUAUGCUUAUGUAAACUUUUGCCAACCCUGCAACUAUUAUGUGCAAAGUGGGCCGAGGCUAAACCUCGUACUGGCAUCGUCAUUUUGGGUUAGCAUUUGGGUCCAUUUGUGCCAUCUCGAGGCAGAAUCAUUUUAGGUCAUUUCCAGGAUCGUCAAAUUGAAGAAGUUGUAGCAGAUAGAAGAGGCGUGGUCCAAAGUUGAGAAUUCAGAGGCAAUGGGUUGAGAUAGUUAAAAGGAGUUGAAGCUUUUCUUAUCCUUUUGAAAUUAGAAGACAUACGAUUAGAAAACCCUUAAAUUAUUUAAAAAUUUUAAAUAAAUUUUUAUUCUUUUAUAAUAUUUAAUUAAAUUUUUAUAUUUUUAUUAUAAAUCAAAUAAGUCUUUAUAAUUAAUAGUUGAUUAAUUAUCAUUAUUUAAAAUAUCAUUUAUCAUUUUAUAUUCAAUGACAUUGAUGUGAAAGUAAAAAAUAUUACAUGUUCAUGUCAACAUACCACGUCAUCGUCUAUUAUAACAUGUUAACAUACUAUGUCCACAUCACAUGACAUAAAAUAACAAUUGAUAUUUUGACUAAUAAUAAUUAGUCAGCCAUUAGGUAGAAAGGAUUUUUCGAUUCAAAAUAAUAAUAUAAGGACUUGAUUAAUUGAAAUAAAAAAUAAAAAUUUUUAAAAUUUUUUUAAAUAGUUCAAAAACUUUUUUAAGUAUUAUGUCAAAUUAAAACAAAACAUUCAAUAAAAACAAUAAAUGAGAUGUUCAUUACUAUGCAAUAAAUACAAACUCAAAGAACGUUGGAAGUACAACAAUGGAAGGAUUUGAGAGGCAAAAGGGUGGACGGUGUGUUUAGGAAAGAUUAAUUGCCAGGCAAAAAGUGGAAUAAUUGAGCAAAAUAAUAGUAUUGAAAAAGUUGCUUGAUAACUCUAUUAUAUAAAGUUAUUUUGACACAUUUUGAGAGCUUAAGUAGUUAGAUCUGUGAGAUUUUAGGUUCAAAUCGUAGUAUUUUCAAUGUUUUUCUAGUUUAAGUUUGAUUAUAUGUUGAAUAGUUAAUUUAAGUUAUUUUAGUUAAAUUUUAUGUUAUUUUAUUUUAAAUUACUUUAAGAGUAGUUAUUGCUAAUUUUUCUUAUUGCUUUUGUAGGAAAUUUGAUAAAAAAGACUAGGUGAUGAAAAUCAAUGCAAGUAUGGUGAUGGCUUCAUUCGUAUAUGUUUCGGUAUUUUGACCAUAUCUCUCUCUACAAAACUCUAAAUGAGAUCAUUCUUAGGCCACUAGAAUUCUAACAAGAAGGGAUACAACGUUUGUGUUUACCAAUUUGCCCAGUUCUGAUUAGAUUGUGGUCAAAAUAUUUGUCUAAGUCGAAGUAAUGCUGCAGUUUGCAUGGACUAAACAUGAUUUGGUAUUUGGACCAUAUCUUUCAAUCCAAAAGUCUAAUUGAUAUGAUUCUUAAUCCAUUGGAAAGAUAAGAGAUAGGGCUAAAACUUUUAUGUUUAUCACUUUGCCUAGUUUAGAACAUUUCAGGGUGAAACUCACAUUUGAAUUUGAUAGACCGCCACAAUGCUAGGAGAACAAGGCUAUAGCAUUGAUGACAGGAAGCACACAUACAAUUUUCCAAAGAGCUCAGCGCUGCAGCGUUGGAGAAGUAGCGCUGCAGUGCUAGACGAUUUUCCAAAAAUAAAAAGUUAACGAGAUUUUAGAAAUUAGGUUACUUGGAGCCUAUUUAAGGGGCCUUUUUCAAAAGUUUCUAGAGGGCGGCAAAAACAACUAUUAUGAAGAUUUGGAGCCAAGAACAAAGCAAGAAAACUAGAGAAUUGGAAGGAGAAUCAAGAUCAAAAAGCUCCAACUAUUAGUUUUCUCUUUUUACUUUUGUGUUUUUCUUAUUUGCUUUGACUUCGAUUAAUGGCUAAAUUUCUUUGAAUAUUGUUUUUAUUAGAUAUUAUGAGCUAAAUUAUUUUUUUAGGAUUGCAAUUGAACUCACAUGUAAUCUAAACUUUCAAUCUUUUUCUUGCUUAUCUUUAAUGGGAUUUGAAUUGUUUAUUCCAAUUUGUUCUUAAUGCUUUUAAUUGCUUGAUCACCAAUUAAAUUGAUUUAGGAACGCAAACAAACUUGGGAAAAGGAGUUUAAUGUAGACUAAAAUUGAGAUAGCAUAUAAUCAUAUUAAUUGAUUUGCGUAUAGGAUAGGUAUAUACCCAUAGGCCUUAUGUAGCUAGAUUAGAGCCAAAACUUAAUAAGUCUAUUUUAAUCUCAAUUCAUAUAGGAAUAUAGUGUUUUGAUUAAAAUAGAUAUUUUUAUAAGAUGAGUCGGAAGACAUUUAUAAAUAAUUGAGAACUCUAAGUUAGCAAUUUAACCCAUUGAAAUAAGUUAAGGAAGAGAGUUAAGAUUUAGAUAAAGUGUGAAGAAUAUUGUAAUCCUAGGCUUAUUUGAUUUGAUUUUUAUCUAAUUAUUUUGUUGCUUUGAUUUCUCUUUUUAGUAUAAAUUUUGGUUAAUUAGUUUUAGUUAAUUAAUUUAGUUAUUUGAAUUUGAUUAUUUGGAUAAGAUUAAAUUGUUCUAAUUUUAGUACUUAGUAAAAUUUUAUAUCAAUUCUCUAUGGAAUCAAUACUCUACUUACUUAUAUACUAUCUAUUUGAUACGUAUACUUGUGUAGUAGAAUUUUAACUGACAUUGCUUGCUGAUUAUUGAAGUACUUUUGGAGGAGCCUACUUAUAGGCAUUCUUAGUUGAUCAGAUUACCCACACAUUCCUCCCUUGUCCAAGUCAUUAACGUUGAUGAAGCUUAUUGCCCUUGGCCUCAAAAUUACUAUUAUAAUAGGAAUUAGGAUGGUGCCUGUAGCUACUCUAUGAAAAAGUUCACAAAAAAUAUAGAUUAUGUUGUAAUAGACUUCAAUUUGGUACCUUUAAAAGAGUUUGUAGGGAAAGCUAUAUUGUAUUAGUCAACUAUAUGUAUGUAUGGUUUUUGCUGGUAGAAGAAAAAAUAAACUGAUAAUAAUUGAAGAUAGUUAUUUGCUUUGGUUUCAAUCGAUGGAAAGCUUCUCCUGAAUAUAUGUUUUUAAAACAAUACUUAUCCAAAGAAGAUUGUAGUCAUGUUACACAUGCAAUAAUUUUUUUCUAUUAAAAAUAUAUUGUUUAAACAAAAUGAAUAAUAUUAGUGAUUUGGAGGUCUGCUCUUCAUUUUGUCAUAUAAUUUGUCCCUAUUUCUUUGAUUUCUGUUAUGCUAUAUUGUGUUAGUCAACUGCAUGAAUGUAUGGUUCUUGUUGGUAAAGGAAAAGAUAAAGUGAUUUUAAUUGAAGAUAGUUAUUUGCUUUGGUUUCUUUGGUUCUUGAUGAUCAAUUUUUGUCAUUUGUAGGUUUUUAUUGUCUGUAAGUUGCUUGUAAGAUUUGCUUUGACUCACUAAUUUCAAGUAAAACCAUAUUUCUUGCUUAUACUUACAUGGAAAAGAAACAACCGUAUUUAUGUCAGUAGUAUAUAUAAUAGCAAUAGUUCAUUAAGUAAAUGAGACAAUAAAAUAAUUGAAAGAAAACCUCAUACGCAAAUCGAAUAGUUAAGAAAGAGGCUCCCAUAUUGGUUAAACAAAAUGAUUAAACUGUUGCAUAUCUGUUAGAUAUAUUUAACUAUAGUGAUAGUUUCUUGUUUCUUUUGCCAUACACAUUUCCUCUUAUUUCUUUAGUUUUUGUUGUUGUGCUCCUUCUGUUGGACUUGUUGUACAUAUAAGAAGAUAAAAUUUGUUUAGUGCCUAAUUUUUUAAAGGCUUUUAAGUUAAAUCAAUAAAAGAUUUGUAAAGUAAUCUAAUUAACAUACAUGAUUUUCGAUUUUUUCACUAGUGAUUCUUCUAGGAUUAAUUCCUUUGUGAUUUGUGAAUCUAUUGGUGAUGGAGACACUUCAAUUUCAGAGUUUUCAAUUGUGAGUUAUGGAUUUUUAGUUGCUAAGGCAAUAAUAGUAUUUCUUGUUGUACCUUUUUCUAUUUCGCAACGAACAAGCAAGGUUUCUUUGACAGUGUUACAGUAAAAAACCUUGAAUUUCAACAAUCCCUGAUCAAUAGCUUUUGCAGUCAAUCUUAGUUGGAAUGUUCUUUCUGUGUUUAUCAAGGCUUUGACAGGAGUUGGAAUAAUCAUUUUGUCAAUUUCCUUGAUGACAACAAGCUCUGCUAUAGUUGCUCUAGUCAACUUUCUGCUUGCUGAUCGAACACUUGCAGUUGAAUUUCACCAGUUGUAUCUUGUAUUGUUAGCUCCAAAAUCAUCCUGUUAGAAAUAAACAAAAAUAUCAUUAUUGUUAUGUUGUAGAAUAAUAUUUUGUUUGAUUUAAAGAUAAAAUUUUAGUUUUCUUACAUCAGUACUAGUACUUUUUCAUCAUGGGUUCUAUACCAUAAUCUGUUAGAUAAAUAUUUCAAUCCUUCUGCAUAUUCAUUGCAUGCAUUGUAGUACCAUCCAUUUGGUGCUUCUAUAUUGACUAUUGUUCUUGUGAUCUCAAACUUUUUAUUUUGUAGGAAGAUGUAAAUGUUAUUGUUAAUUUUGAUAGUAUGACGAAUUGAUUUAACUUGAUGUCAUAGUUAGGAAUUUAUGUUUUUGUAGUUAAGAGCUGUUUUUUUUCAUAAAUGAUUAUAAGUAAAGAAAUCCUUGUUGCUCAAAAUAUAGUAGUAUAGGUAGUUAGAUUUUUACCAUUGUUUUUCCUGAUUUUAUUGCCAACAAGUCUCCAAUUGUCGCAUUUUGUAUUGGAGUUGGUUGAGUAAUUUGUAGGAGAUUUCCUUUCUUUAUUUUUUGCAAUUGGGCUUCAAUUAUUUCAUGUUGGUACCUGUAAUUUUUUUUGUUAGUGAUAAGUAGGAUGCUUUCAAGGUCGUUUUAAAUUAGAUAAUGUAAUUUUCAAUUUGUACAACAUUACCUGGCCUUUAGUUCUUCUACUUGAAGAAUAAUAGGAUCAAUAUAAACUCCGGUUGCAAAAUAGAAAAAUGUGUAUAAUGAUCCUACAAAAUGUAAUUAGUUGAAUAGCUAUAGUUUUUUUAUGGUAAAUAGUUAUUGUUAUUGUUAAAAACAUUUAUAAUGAUCAACUUACGCAUAUAGGUCUUGAUCAUCAAUCCAACAAUAGCAAGAAUAGUGUUUGGCUUGUUUUGAAGUAUUUCAUCUUCAUUUAUUUCCAAUGCCAACUUUUCAUAUAACACAACUUUGAUUAUUCAUGUAGAAAUAUUGAUGUAAAAAUGAACUAUAUAUUCAUCAUAGUAAUUGCCUAAGAUUUUGUAGAUACAUGUCCCUUUUUAAGAACAAGAGUACUUUUGUGAUUUAGCUGAACUUUGUUUACAGAAAUUAUUGUUUUCACCACUCUAAUGACAUUUACAAUUUUGGUAUUGAAACAACAUAGUAUAAAAGUUAGAAGUUAAAUAAUUGAAUGCAAUUUGAUUAUGUAGGAUAUUUUCUUUUAAUAUCUGUCAAGACAUUCUCUUGGUGUAUCCUGUCAUGAAGUAUGGUAUACUCUAUAAAGUUAAAAUGAUGAGUAAGAUAUGCAAUUCCAUCUUCAUGAACUUGCUUCACUUCUGUUGCUUUUGAAAAUACAAUCAUCAGAUCGCCAGGCAAAGCAUUGUAGUUGUUUUUGCUUUUCAUAACUCGAAAUUUGUCAAUCAAGCAUACAAAGCCUUCUUUCAGUAUAGAUUUAAAUUGUUGUGCAUUUGAACUUCUAAUCAUUACUUGCAUUACAUUUUUCUUUCAAAGAUAAAUACAAUAAAGUUGUAUUUUAGUAUUUUUAAAAGGUAUAUAGUAAGAAAAAUUUAAGUAAAGGUUUUUAUUUUUAAUAAGUUACCUUGAUAUCGGCAACUAUGAAAUCAAAAUUCAGAAGUGUUUAUGGAUUAUCUAGUGUUGUUGACUACCAGAUUCGAAUGACCUUCACUUUCACUAGUUUUGGUGAUUUAUACAAUUCCAAGUCACUUAGAUAUUGUUGGUCCAUUUCUACUUGUUGUAGUAGACUUUAAUAAAUAUAAUACACCAAUGCAUAAUGUAAAUACAGUAAGAACAAAUGAUGUAAUGCAAAGAAGUUAAAUAUUGAAACCAUGAUGUAAAUCAUUUUUACAAUAAGUUGAUUAUACAAAGAUGGUUAAAUGUAGUGUAAAAUAUUGAGAAAUGAGAGAAUAUAUAACCUGUUCUUUUGACAGAUUAAGAUAAACAAUUGUAGAAUGUAGGGUAACAGUAUAGUGUAAAGAUUCUAUCAAUAUAAACUAGUUACUAAUUUCUAGCAGUAUUUGUCUUUUAUAUAUAAAAUAAAUGGCUAAAGGUUAUCAAAUUCAAUGUAUUUGUUUAUUUAAUGAUGACUAUGUGCUACGUAUAUUGAGAAACAAGUAGACCUUUUUGACUUUUUUAUUUUGUUUAAUAAAUUUGAUGGAUAUUUAUUAUAAUUUAAACAUUCAUGUAUAAAAGAGAUGUCUAAAUUGUACAGAUUCAAGUUCAUGUAGAAUAAGAGGAUAUAGACAGUAAAUAAUAUUUAAUUACAAUUAAUAAAUAUUGAAUGAAUCAAUCCUCUAGGUAUUAAAAGUUAGAAAUUAUUGUUUUCAAGUAGUUUUUACUAAAAUAAAUAAAAGUAAACUAAAAAAUCCUGAAAAAUUUAAUGAUGACAUUUAGUAAAUGUUGUCUUUUAAAUUAAAAUUAGCUUUAAACUGUGCCUUUGUAACCUGUUUAAUUACCUAAUCAAAACAAAUUUAAUAUCUGGAACAUAUGGGAUAAAGCUUAAAAUUGAAAAUGACAAUGUGAAAACCUCUAUAUCUAACAUUCUAAAGCAAUUGUGAUUUUUUUUUUAUAAUUGGGGGAAGGGGAAUUCGAACCUUACUCUUUAGGCAGGGGGAACAUGCAUCACUCAAUGAGCCAAAUGCUCAGGUGCUAAAGCAAUUGUGACUUUGAAGUUUGAUCAAAUAAAGAAAAAAUAUCUAGAAGCAACUAUCUACACAGCUUGACAACUUAGUAAGUUAGUAUAAUUUAUGCCUUACGUGAGCAUUUUAGUGAAUCCAAAUUAGCCUCAAAAUUGAUGAGCACCCUUAAUAAAAUCAAUAUGAAUGUCAAGAGUAAUCAUCAUUAUAACAAAAAUAAGUAAAUAAUGAAAAGAAAUAAAACGGAUAAGAUCCAUGUGCCAACAAAAACAUCAUAAUCUAAUAUAAGCAAAAUAUACUCAUAUCAUGAAAAUCAAAGUAAAAUGCAAAUUUUGGAACAAAAAUUUAAUGCAAUUAUUCUUUUUACCAAAAUUUUUUCUUUUAGAUAGAAUAUUUAUCAUCAUGUAAUAUUACCGUUUCUCUAGGCUCAAGCGCAUUGGUAAUACAUCUUUUCAUUAUCCCAAUGUCUUAGAAGGAAACAUCUUAUGUCCCAACUUCAUUAUUAUCUUCAUUGUUUGUUAUUGCAUAUGUUUUUCUUGUAUAUUUUAUUUCAGCUUAAACAUUAUCAAGCCAUGCAUCCUACAAUAAAAUCCAUGUGGUAGUCAAUAGAAGUUUUGAUAUAAUAAUUUAGAAGCUUUAGGUCAAUAAGAUAAUUUACAUUGAUUUCAUUGUCAUUAAAAUAUUCAACAAAGUUUCCAUCUACAUCAAAUAUCAACCAUACCAUCUAUUAUUGACCCUUUGGAAGGUUUAGGAUAACACUCUUUAUCAGAUAUACCAAAUGGAGGAAUUGAUUGUCUAAUGAUGUGGUGUUUUACAACAUUUUUUACCAUGUUAGUUUCCAAAUUUUACAAUAAUUCAAAGAUUUUAGUUUUAAAUUACUUAAACCCAUUACCUGCUAUCUUGGUCCCAAUAUAAAAACAGUCCUACCAUGUCGAUCAUGAAAAUUUGCUUUAUAUACUUUUUUGGUCUCACCUUCUACUACAACUUCAUGUUGACAACAAUACCAUUCAUGUGGUUAGGUAAAAAUUAAUCUCAGCAACUUAUAGAGGAGCUAUUUAAUAUAAUUAUAUCAAUUAACCACCAUCAUUAACCCUCUUUUAUUAACAUUAAAAGGAAGAAAAAUAUGUUACACAACUUAGUAACUCACCCAACAUAUUUCCUCAAGCUUAUAAAUUAAUCUCCAUUUGCGUGUCUCUUCUAGCAUUUUCUUUGAUUUGUCAACAUUUCGGUUUUGUGCUUCCAAGUAUCUCCUCAAGUAGGCAUCAAUGUCAUACUUCAAACUACGCCCAGAUAAUGGUGCCAAUGCAGCUCUAAGCUCAUUGACUUGCUUUUAUUUUUAUGUAAAAGCAAAUAUUAACCAAAAAGUGAUCACAAUUUAAAGACAGAAUUACACAAAUUUUCACAAAUACUAUUGGUAGGUAGAUCACAUAUUUACUAGUGCAACAUUUCUCAAGAUAAAAAGCAGCGAAGGGAGAUCUUAGUAGACAACACAAAGGUUAUGCCAUAGUUAAAUAUAAAUUCACAAACUAUUUAGACUUUAUUACCUUGGAUUCAUGUUGCAAUGAAUCAUUCUCUUGGUCGUGAUGAGAAUUGCUCCAUCUACUAAACAUCACGUCAGUGUACUGCAUUAGCAUUAUAAGUUGCUACUCAUACUAAUUUGAUCUAUUAAUAGAAAUUAAACAACUUGCAUUGCUUUCAUCUCUGUAGAUUGUUAAGUAUUUUUUAGAUGCUAAAAUCUUCCAAAAGGUGAAGUUUGUGUACCCAAGAAUAAAGACAGCGUGGAGCUCAUGAGAUCAUAUUUUGAUGAGGAAAAUUUGCCAACUGGGUUUGGAAGAAAGGUUGUAUUGCAGUACAACCGUGGAAAAUUCUCCAAACAAAUGAUAUAGGAUAACAUCUGUCACGACCCAAAUUUCAAGCCAUGACUGGCGCAUGGGCCCAAUGGAUGUAGUCCACUAAGCCCAAACAAGCCUAUUAAUUUGACAUGUUCAUCAUUCCGUCAUAAACUGCUAAGUCAUAUAUCAUAACUUAGAAUCAAAAUACUAUUAAGCAUUGCCACUUCAUACUGGCAUACCAAACAAGUGUAUAUACACUGUCUACACAUGUAUCUUAAUAAUUCACAUUAGGUUCGUCUAUACACAACAAAAGGAGACUCGAUGUCCAGCGGAAAGACUCAGACGAAUGUACAGCUACUGAAUGCCGAGACACCUACUAAAAGAUGGAUACAAGUCCACGAGGACACCUCAUCCUAGUUACCGACUGUCUCUUAAUCUGAAAACAUGAAGUUGAAAGCGGUAAGCAUAAACUCAGUGAGUGAACAAGAAAGGAACAAGCAUACCAUAAGGAAUGUUUAUUGAAAUCAUGAUGCACUUAUUUUCUCAAAACAAUGCAAUUUGUUCUAGUUCUUAGUAGAACCCCUCAUGUAAACCCCUCCUGAGUAAAUCACUUAAAAGAUCCAUACUCAACUAUGGUACCAAAGAAUCGAAAAAUAUAGCAAAACCCACAAAUUAGCCAAAAAAGACAAAAAGUUUCUCGCUGCAGUGAACUUUAUUCUCGCUGCAGCGAGAACCAGGUCUGAGGAAGGCCCUCAAACCUGAGAGUUUCUCACUGCGGUGAGAGUGAAAACGUCCAGGAAAAAGUCUCAUUUUCCUUUAAAACAAGCCAUCCUGCUAAAAUAACAAUAGCAACAUGUAACACAUGUAAACUGCCAAAUUUCAACAAAUCAAAUGCUCACAUAUAUGCAUUAACAACCAUAUACCAUAUAUGUAUGUAUAUAUAUAUAUAUAUAUAUAUAUCAAUCAUCAUAUACACCCUCCCAUCAUCAUCAUCUCAUAUGCAACGUCUUAUGCGUACUCCCACUCGCAUAUAGUCAGGUCAGCAACGGCUUAUGUGCACUCUCACUCACACAUAGUUGGGUCAACAACGGCUUAUGUGCACUCCCAUUCACACAUAGCCGGGUCAGCAACGACUUAUGUGCACUCCUACUCGCACAUAGUCGGGUCAGCAACGACUUAUGUGCACUUCUACUCGCACAUAGCUGGGUCCACAUCAACAUGCAAAGAAGCAUCCAAUGCAUAUCAUGCAUUUUAUCAUAUUAUGAUAACACAUAAACUAUUGUAUAACACAUUUUCACAAUAUAAAAUCAUUUUACUAAAAGCUUGUUCCCAAGGUACAUUUUCUAAGACAAGUUGGAUAGAAUCUUUCAUAUUUCCCAAAACAAGUUUGAAAUGCAAGUCCACUCACCGGUAUUCGUUAAGCCUUUAGCCGACUCUUAAUCCCCCUAAUGAUCCAAUUGGGGUGAUGGGGCUUCAUUAGCACCUACUAUCAAAUUAACAUUUCCAUAAUGUCAAUUUACAUACUAUAAACGCUAAAAGUUAUCUUUUAGCUAGCUUUCAAUUGCCAUUUAAAUGGCCAUCCAUUUUCACUUUCCUAUCACUUCAAAGUGAAUUAACAAUCUCAACUACAAAAUAUUCACAAAUCAAAUCUCUAGUCAUUCUCAACACUUAAAACCCAAUACUAGUUUACUACUCACCUUGAUAGCUUUGUAACUUUGAACUUCUUUCCAAAAGCUCUCAAGCUAUUAAUAAAGCUUCCUCUUUCUCUCNNNNNNNNNNNNNNNNNNNNNNNNNNNNNNNNNNNNNNNNNNNNNNNNNNNNNNNNNNNNNNNNNNNNNNNNNNNNNNNNNNNNNNNNNNNNNNNNNNNNNNNNNNNNNNNNNNNNNNNNNNNNNNNNNNNNNNNNNNNNNNNNNNNNNNNNNNNNNNNNNNNNNNNNNNNNNNNNNNNNNNNNNNNNNNNNNNNNNNNNNNNNNNNNNNNNNNNNNNNNNNNNNNNNNNNNNNNNNNNNNNNNNNNNNNNNNNNNNNNNNNNNNNNNNNNNNNNNNNNNNNNNNNNNNNNNNNNNNNNNNNNNNNNNNNNNNNNNNNNNNNNNNNNNNNNNNNNNNNNNNNNNNNNNNNNNNNNNNNNNNNNNNNNNNNNNNNNNNNNNNNNNNNNNNNNNNNNNNNNNNNNNNNNNNNNNNNNNNNNNNNNNNNNNNNNNUUUACCUUUAUUAGCUUAAUCCCUUGAAAUCCCACACUUUUUCUUUAAUUUUCCCGCCUAGGGUUUGUGUUCUUUCCUUUCCUCUUCACUUUAUGCUUUGACCGGCCAUAUGGGUGAGACUAAGAGAGUUUUAAAUAGAUUUUACAAGGAAAUUCUAGAAUAAUCCAAGCUUGACACAUGGCAUGUUUCCAUUGGUCCAUGUGUAAUACUUAUCCAUUAAGCAAUCUCUCUCCAUCACAUAAAAUGUUUCAAUUAUCCACAAUGUAAAAUGUUAAUGGCUUAAAUCCAUGGGCAUGACAAGUGUCAGGUGGUGUAAAAUUCUAAAAAUUUCCAUUUUGUCCUUGGGUGACAAAAUUACCAUUUUGCCCCUAGAUCAUAAAAAUCUUCAAAAAUUUUAUUUCCUUGUCAUUUCACCCAUAUUUUCAUCAUUCAUUUAUGCUUUAUGCCUACUUAAGCCAUAAUAUUGUUUAAAACUUACUUUUAUGGGCUUAUUGAGAAAAUGACGAAAUUAUCCCUUAUUAGGGAUAUCGCGUAUAUUUCUAUCUACGAGUCUAUAAAGGUCAAGGUCUCACAACAUCAAUCCAAGCAAAAUGACAACUUGUCCAUCAUAACCACUGAGGUGGCAAAUUGGGAUUGACAAUAGAGAUAAAUACCAAUGUUUGCAUAUUAAUAAAUGAUGGGGAUUUGGGUAUUUGAAACUUAAAUGCUAAGUAAGAAAGUUGAAACAAAAAAGGGAAUUCCAAGGGGAGUUUAAUUGAUUAACAUAAAAACUUAUCAAUUUUUCAAAAUAGUAAUAUUAAUGCAAUCCACUCAAUCUCAAAAAGGCCCAUCACAACUAUAACCGUACAAAAAAUCAAUUACAAAGGAAAGAAAUUUACAUGUUUAAAAACUCAAAAAGGGGUCUUGCUUCUUGAUCUUCCAAACUCAAGAGAGAAAAAAAGGAAUAGUAGGAUAAUAUAGUAUAGUAUAAGUGUCAUUGACAAAGUCAAUAACUUUCUAUAUCUUCCAAACACAUGCCCAUGAGAAUGUGAUCCCAAAGAAACACAAAAGAAAAAAUUUAUGUAAGUCACUAAUAUCAUUGUCAUUCGAUCUUUUUAAUCACUUAGAAGCAAAACUUCGAAGGACCAUUUUCUCUGAAAACCUCUCAUUUAGGUGAAGAGAACCCAAAUUGGUUCUUUCGUAAAAAGGUAUUGCCCAUUAUUCUUUACAAUGCAAAGUGUGUUUCUUAUUUUUUUUUUUAAAUUGAUUUCGUCAACUAUCAUUUUGAAGAAAAAAAAAACUCUAUUUUGUUUCUCUAUUUCUAAUUCCUGUUGAGUUUUAUGGGAUAUGUUACUUAAAUUUUAGAUAAAUGAAAAAAAAAAUAAGUGCUUUCUGUGAGACCUUGACCUUUAUAGACUCAUAGAUAGAAGUACACGCGAAAUCCCUGAUUAGGGGUAAUUUCGUCAUUUCCUUAGUAAACCCCUAAAAGUAAGAUUUUAAACAAUAUUAUGGCCUAAGUAGGCCUAAGGCAUAAAUGAAUGAUGAAAAUAUGGGUAAAAUGGCAAGGAAACAAAAUUUUUGAUGAUUUUCAUGAUAGGGCCAAAAUGGUCAUUUUUCACCUCGAGUUAGAAUUUUUUAAGUUUUCAUGAACCCGAGCAUUUCUAGACUAUUAUGGAUCUUGUCCCAAUGUCAAAAGAGUAAAAGGAUUGCAUAAAGGAUUGGAAGAGAACAAGCUAAUUUGUGGAAAGGCAUUUUCGUAAUUUAAGGGAAGUGGAUAAGCAUGGGCUAUAAAUAUCUUGUUCUUCCAGCAGCUUCUUCAUUCUCUAGCAGCUUUUCUCCUUCUGCUUCCUCUCAUCUCACGUUGCUUUCAUCCCCCAUGAAAGCUUGAUAAGAAAGCUCCACAAUCUUCCUUAAAAUAGCUCCACUUUUCAUGCCUUGGUGUAAUCCUUUCAUAAACCUUUGUGCUCUUCCACUCUCUCACUUUAAAACCCUUGAAAAAAUCUUAUUUCCACACACUCUCUCACUAGUUAGGUGUUUUAGAGAGAGAAAGAGGAAGCUUCAAAAAUAGCUUGAAAGUUUUGGAAAGAAUUUCAAAUACAAGCUACCAAGGUUCCAAAGAAGCCCCAUCACCCCAUUUGGACAAUUAGAGAAGUAGAGUCGACUAAAGGUUCAACAAGAUACCGGUGAGUGAACUUGCAUUUCAAAAUUUGUUUUGGGAAUGUAAACUUAUUUGCACAAUAUACUUGAAUGAUUUUAUCCAACUUUCCUUAAAAACAAGUGCCUUAAGAGCAAGCCUUUGAUAAAUUGAUUUUAUGUUGUGACAUGCGAUUGUUAUGAAUUCGUGCACUACUACAUUAUGUUGGUAUAUAUAUAGAUAUAUAUAUAUAUAUAUAUAUAUAUAUAUAUGUUGUGUNAUUAUGUUGGUAUAUAUAUAGAUAUAUAUAUAUAUAUAUAUAUAUAUAUAUAUGUUGUGCAUGAUGGUUGAUAUUUUGUGAUGAUUAUAACUGUGUGUGUGCACGAUGUGGGGGGAUGCACAUGCCAGUAAUGAUGGUGGUGAGGGAGAUGGACGAUGAUAGUGCCCAUGUGCAUGAUGUGAGGGGAUGUACACGAUGACAUUGAUUGUGCACGAUGUGGGGGAUGCACAUGAGCUGGAUGUGAUGAUAGUGGUAUUGGUAUUUAUCCAUGUAUGUAUAUGUAUAUAUGUUUAGAGAAUGAAAACUCGUGUAUAUGGUUUAUGGUUGAAAUGCAUAUGAAUUUGGCAUGCUGAACUUUGGAAACCUUUAUGUGUUUUAUGUUGAUUUUGUCAUUUCAGAAGGAUGGCUUUUUUUCUUGAAAGGAAGGAAACUUUUUUCUCACUGCUCUGUUUCUCGUUGCAGCAAGAAACUCUCGGGUUGGAAGGGUAAGGUUGGCUGAAAAUCUCACUGUAGCGAGAAUGUUACUGUAGCUUCUCGCUGUAGUGAGAAACUUUCUGUUUUGUGACAAAAAAUUUUGCUACAGCGAGAUUCAAUCUCGCUGCAGCGAAAAACUUUAUGUUUUGCUCCUUAUUUGGUUUGGUUGCUACCCUAUUUUCUAUUUCUUUAAUACCAUAAUUGAGCAUGGACCAACAUUAAGGAAUAAAUGAAUUAAGUUUAAAAUGAGGAGGUUUGGUGAGAAACCCUCGGCUAGUUGAUAAUUUAAGUCAAGUGUUGCUGUAGCAAAAAUUCAUUCUUGCUGCAGCGAGGAUCCGUCGUUUAUUUGACUUGAUUCGCAUGAAUGCUAUUAAAGUUUUCACUUUCCAAAUCCUUUGUUGAGCAUGGACCCUUUUCAUAAAGUGAUUUACUCAUGUGGGGUUUACAUAAGGGGUUUUAAUAAGAACUAAAACAAAUUGCAUUGUUUUGAAAACUAAAUGCAUCAUGAUUUCGUUAAACAUUCCUUAAUGUUUGCUUGUUCCCUUCUUGUUCACUCACUGGGUUUAUACUCACCGUUUUCAACUUCAUGUUUUCAGAUUAGGAGGUAGUUAGUAAUUAGGUCAGGGUGACCUCGAAGAUUCGACUAUUGGUAGGUGUCUCAGCAUUCAGUAGCUGUACAUUUACCCCGAGUCUCUUGUUGGAAAUCGAGUCUUCUUUUUGAGAUGUAUAGACAACCCUGAUGUAAAUUAUUAAGAUACAUGUUAUAGACAAUUUAUAUAUAUAUACUUGAUUGAUAUGCCACUAUGAGUUGGCAAUGUUUAGUAUUAUUUUGAUUCAAAGUUAUGAAAUAUGACUUUAGUAAUUUUGAUGGAGUAAUGAGCAGAUCAUGUAAAUAGGCUUGCUUGGGCUCAGUGGGCUAUGUCCAUUGGGCCAAUGCAUCGGUCAUGGCCCGGAAUUUGGGUCGUGACACUUUCUUUUGCUAAGUUUUUCAUCAGAAUCCCUGGUGGCACACUUUAAAUUUCUAUCCAAGAGUAACUAUUCAAAAAAAGUUCAAAUUAGAAAGGCAAUAGAAAAAACACCUAUCUUCCCUUUUUCAUGCUCUAAGACAACGUUUCUCUACAACAAAGAAAAGAACUGAAACUAUCUUUUUACAUGAAACUCUAAAUUGUUGCAAAAGAUUCACAUUGAAACUGAAAUAAUUGGACAAAGUCAAUCCAAGCAAAAUUACAACUUGCCCAUCAUAAGAAAUGCUUGAUGGGAAAAUCAGUCAAUUAAAAAGCAAAAAAUUGACAAAAAAAAAAAACCAAGAACUAAAACACAAAUAUUAAGAUAAUCUUUUACCUUGACUAUUCAUUCAAACUACAUAAGGGAGACAUAGAUAGAGGAAAGACAAGUGGCAGUGUGGCGUCAAAAUAAAGAGUGGGAAGAGAGAGAAAAGAGGUAUUGGCGGAGGAGAGAGAGUCUAACGACGGUUGGGAGGCUAAUCGUCAAAAGUAAAGAUGCCAAAAAUAAUAAAAUGAGAAUAAGAAAAUGGGAUAGCAAAAACCAAGGCUAAGAGAGGAACCGACUCAGUCUGGGAAAAAAGGAAAUGCCAAAAAAACCAUUCAAAUGCCAAAAACACUGCCAUUUUGGCAUAAGAUGUAAAAAAAAAUUCAAUUGAGAAUGACAAGUGUCAAGCAAUUGACCCAAUCAAUUAUCUUACUUUUAUAUAUAUUAUAGAUAUAUUGGCUAGAGACUUUAUUGGUGUAGAAAUAUAUAUUAUAGAUAUGACAAGUGUCAAGCAAUUGACCCAAUUAAUUAUCUUACUUUUAUAUAUAUUAUAGAUAUGUUGGCUAGAGACUUUAUUGGUGUAGAAAUACAAUUUUGUAACCUUGUCUAAUGGUGUGACCAAUUUAAGUAGGAUUGUUCAAUAAUAAAAUUUCUUUUAUAAAUUAUCCUCCAAAUCAUGAGGGAUUAAGGAUAUUAUAAAUUUUUAUCUCAAGUUUACAAGAAUUUCUUUAAACCCACCUUUUUUCCCUAUAAAGCAAGAAAGGUUUUUUUAUUUAGUUUCCUUCUUUCUUUUCAAGUAAAGGCAAAGCCAUUAUUUCAACCUUAGAGUCGAGUUAGCACUUAAGCAUUUGACUCUUUAGUUGGAGUAUGAUCCACUUGCUUAGAGAGUAAGGUUCGAAUCCCUCUUCCUUCAAUUAAAAAAACCAAAACCUUACAGUCGAGUUAAAAAUUGUUGGGAAACCAAGCAAACAAGAGGUCAUUCAUGCAACAAAAUUUAAAUUUUUUUCUUAAAAACAAGAAUAGUUUUGAAUUGUUUAACAUAUAUUACCUAAAUUACAAGGAAUAAGACAAGUAUACCUUUAAAAUCUUAUAAGUCGGAAUCAACAAGGUUCUAAACCCUUGAAUGUUGGAAUCUCCAAGAACCAUAAUUAGGGUUGUAACAAAUCACAAGUUGUCCAAGUAUUCAACCUGCAAUGGUAAUUUUAUUGAAAAAAGGCAUGCAUUCAUAAUACAUAUGUAGUGAAAAUUAAAAUUUUUUUUCCUUUAAUAAGAUCAUUCUUUGGUUUAUUUAAUAUAAAAGAAGUAACUAGAGGAGAUGGAUUAUUAUACCUUUAAAACUUUGGAGUCAAAAUGAAAAGGUUAUCAAACCUUAAAUCAAUUUCCUCUUGCAGACCAAGCUUGCAUUGUAAUAAAUCACAAGCUGUCCAAACAUUUAGCAUCUAACGAAGACCUACACAAAUGUCAAUUGUGAACAACUCCAUAAAAAGGUUAAAGCUACUUAUGCUUUCUAAGGUCUAGCACUAACUAAAGAAGGCACUCUUGGUUUCUCAUUUCUCUAAGGGAAUCCCAAAAACGGCUAAAAACCAAAGGAGGAAGAAUACAAAAUGAUACCUAGAGUUUUGAAGCUGAAAACUAAUUCAUAAGGUUUCCUAUAUAGGACUAUUGGUACCAAGGUCAAGGUUAUAAAAGGCUAUUGAUUUCUCUCCUUUCUUAUCUUCCUUAUCUCUCAAGGUUUGGAUGUAUUACCUUUAAUUUGUAGCAUAAGCAUUGUAUUUAUAGACAAUUGUAAUCCAAAACGGUUUAACAUAACUUUUAUGUCAAUUACCAAAAUUGCCUAUUGUUUAUUGAACCAUUCAAUUAAACCUUUGAAGCUCCAAACAUUUUUCAAUUAAAUCCAACUUAAUUUCUCCACCUUUACAUUCUCAAUUGUCACUCUAUGAUGUGUGUGACCUAUAAGGUUCUUAACAUGUUGGUAAUAGAUACAUAAUAUAAUCCUAAGCAAAAUAGAAUUAUAUGGAUCAAUGCCCUUUGCGUUCAUCAUUAAUUCCAAAUUGAUUAUUUCAUAUUCAUAAGUCAAAAUUUAAAUCUAGCCAUAUAUCAUGACUAUCCAAAUAUUAAAAAGAGUUAGAGUGGUUUGACUCAUCCCUUUAAUGCAUAAUCUUACCAUUUAAUUAAUAUCAUUUCGUCAUUCAAUAUCUUGACAAGUUAGAGCAUGGUAUAGUGUUUACUCUUUUUUGUCGUAUUAACACUUGAAGCAAGUAAUCAACUUAUUCUUAUGAGAAUCGAAAAAAUCUUUUGCCAAUUACUCAUCAUGCCUUGACUAAGGGUUUCCCUGAGCCAUUACAUGUCAAGAUACGAUAGGAUAUUCCCCUUAGUUUCACUUAAGGUGAUGAAUCUUGUAUUGUUCAUAGAUUUACCUUUAUAUGUUUCAUGCUUUUGGAAAAAGCCAUACAAACCAUUUACAUACACAACAAAAAAUUAAAAACUUUAUCCUUAAGCAAGAUCAUAUUUGAUUGUUUAAUGUAGAUUACCCUAAUCCCUUUGUGCAUUUGAUGUUGAAAUCAAGAGACCUUGAACUCCUAGGUAUCAAAUACCAUCUCAUCAAGCGUAGGUUGUCACAAACCUCAAGUUGUACAAGUGUCCAACCUCUAACGAUGAUCCACACUAAUUCCAAGCUUAAUAACAUCAAAUGUGUUGAGGUUUGCUUAUGCUAGUUAGCCUAAUGCCUGUAAGGUACAUAAGGUUUCCUCACUUCCCAAGUGAAUCCUGAAACAACCAACAAGGAAAAGAGGAAGAGAAGUUAACUUUAAGAAAGGCACAUAAAAAUCAAUUUCCAAGUAUAUGCAACUUGUUUGCUAAUAUGCAAGGAUUUAUAGGCUUGUGGACUUGCAAGAUUUGCUCUCUAAGGUUUUCAAUUCUUCUGAUAUUCUCUCAAGUCAUAAAUGUGAUUGUCCUGCCUAUCAAGUGUACAUAAAGUAGUAUUUAUAAGCAACUUAACCUAACAUAACAAUUAUAUUAAUUACAAAAUUCCCUAAAAUAAAUUGAACCCUUUAAAAGAAUCCUUUAAAGUUCAAUUUUUUUUUUUGGAAUUAAGUCCAACUUAAUUAGCCCAUUUUACAUGCAAUCUUGUCACCUUUUGUGUGUGUGACCCAUUAGAUUCUUAUAUGAAUAAAACUAUAAUCCAAAGCCAAUUAAGAUAAAAUGAAUCAAACAAUUUGCAUUCAUCAUUAAUUCCAACAUUGAUUAGCUUAUAUUUAUAUUUCAAGAUUGACAUAAAGCAAUGUGUCAUGACUACCUAAAUAUCAAGAAAAGUAAAAAAUGUUUUACUUAACUCUUCUUUGCCCAAUCUAUCAGUGAAUUCAAGUUUUCAUCAUCCAUAAUCCUAAUAAGACUCAGAGUAUAGUGUACUAUAUACCCUAUAUUUGUCUUUAUCAUUUUAGUUCUUGAAGUUUUUUUUAACUCCUUAAUGAAAUUAAAAAAAUACAUUUUCUGAAUCUUCAUUCUACCUUAGCCAUGGAUUUCCUUGAGUUAAGACAUGUCAAAAAACAAUAGAAAUCUUUCUUAGGAUCACUUAGGGUAAUGUAUCCAUUAUUGAUCAUUCAUUCAUCUUUAUGUCCUUCAUGCUAUACCCAAUGUAUAUCCCAUUAUACAUCUUUAGCUAGGACUACCUAAAGUAGUAUUGAUAACUCUAUGAUAUAGAGUUAUUUGGACUUAAUAUUGAUAAUAAUUUAGCUUAGUUCUUGUAGUAAUGCAUAAAAAUUAUUGAGUUUUAUUUAAUUAUUUUAAAUUAGUUAAUUAGGUGAGUCAAUCUAAUUUUAGUUAAAUUUAUGCUUAAAUUCGUGUCUAUGUGCCUAAGAUAUGUGAUUAUUGGUUAAUUUGCUGAUUUGUAAGUGUGCAAUUAAAAUGGUGAAAAGUUGUCAAGUUAGGUGUUCAUGAGAUGUACAUCUUCAUUGCACAUGUCUCGGUAUUUUAAUUAUAACUUUUUCUACAAAACUCUAAAUGAGAUGAUUCCUAGACCAUUGGAACGAUAAGAGAAAAAUAUACAACUUUCAUGUUUUUUACUUUUCCCAGUUAUGAUUGGAAGGUGGUUUAAAUCUUUGUCAAAGUUGAAAGAUUGUAUUAGGAGAGUGGAAGUCAAGAUAGAACAAUGAGAGCUGCGGCUCUGGAUGAUGAUGGCCACUAUGCUGAAAAGGACAAGGAAUGUGGAGACCAACAUAGAGAAGUGAGGGUCGCAGCUCUAGGGAAUAAGAGUUGCGGCGCUUGAAGAAAAUACUAUAAAAUCCUUUUUUGAUUAGACUUCUUUUUUUUACAUGAACUUAUACCCUAUUUAAGCAACCUUUUAGAAGACUUCCAAAGGAAUGAAACACCAGAUUUAAAGCUGAGAUUUAUCCACAAAAAAUCAUUGAAAAAAGUCUCAUUGGAGCUGAGAAGAAAUUAAAAGAUUCAAGAAGAUCGAGGAGAUAAAACCUUGCACUAUUGGAAUUUUUUAUCUUUUUGUUAUUCUUAUAUUUACUUAGUUUGGUUUUUGUAAAGCCUGACCUUAUAAAAUACUUGUCAUGACAUACAUGUGAUGGAUAGCAUGUUUGCAUACUAGAAAAGUCCUGAAGAAUUUACAAAAUGCGGUAUUAUACCUAGAGGUACAACAAAGUUAAUUUAAGCCUCGAACUAGAUCAAAUAGAGAUUUUAGAGUGAAAUCAAAAUUUUAAAGUCCCAAAAUGACUUAGAAUGGUGAUUCGGAGUUCGAGAACCAAUUUGGAGUCAAAUUGAAAAUUUCACUAUCUAGGGGUAAAAUGGUAAUUUUGCCACUCGAGGACAAAAUGGGAAUUUUUUUGAAAGAUUUUGAUCAUAUUUGACUUAUUGGAGUAUGAUUUGAGGUUGAGAAGUGAAAAAUUUGUAAUCUCGAUAUUUUUCAGAGCAUAGGGGUAAAAUGGUAAUUUUGUCACCCUAAGGGCAAAAUUGUAAUUUUACACACCCAACACUUGUCCAGCAUAUGGAAUGUACCUAAUUUUAUCAUGGAUAAUUGAGGAAAUUUAAGUGGUGAAGAGAGAAAGCUUAAUAGUUAAGAAUUAAAAAUGGACCAAUGAAAUGGUGACACAUGGCAUAUUUAUAACCAUUAAAUAUUUGGCUUAUAAAUUAACACAAAUCAGCCCAUUUUCUCUUCAUAUGGCCGGCCAAACCAAGAGCAAAGGAAAAACAAAGGGAGAAAAGAAAAACAAGAACCCUAGGUUGGAAAAUUCAAAGAAAAAUUGGUGGAUUUCAAGGAAUCAAGCAAUUAAAGGUAAAAUUUCUUGAUUUUGACUUGUGAUCUACCUUUUCCAUGCAUUUCUCCUUAUUUUUCAUGGUUAGAUUUCAUGUUUUCAUUAUGAAUUCAUGGCUGAUCAAAAUGGGUAUGGAGAGAGAAAAAUGUUGGAUUGAUUUGAUUUUAAGUUAUGUUAGUGUUUUUAGUUAGUUUAGCAUAUUUAGAAACAAAACAACAAGAAAAGAAUUCAUUUUCCCCCAUCACCAUCAUUGGCCGAAUUUUCUAAGGAGGAUAUUGUGGCUGAAAUUGAUGAUAUUUCAUGAUAUUUUGGUGAUAUUUGAUGUUUGGUGAGGCUAGAAAUUAAAUGAGAAAUUUUGGUGUGAAAAUCUGAAUAUUUACCUAAUGUAUAGACAUGAGUGAUUAUUGAUUCGGGACUAUAAAUUGAAUCUCAUUCACAGUCACUAAGGUAAUUUAGGUAUAAUUGGAGUGUAGAAAGUGAAAGAAAUUGAUUUGGAGUUAAAUUGGAGGUUUUAGCCAAUUACACCAAGAAUAGUGCGAAUUAGGUUGAAUACCGUAUUUAAACGGCUAUUCGAACAUUUUGCAUCACAUUUCGUGCAUUCAUAUAGAUUUAUAGAGCCUGAAAUAGUUUAUGAUAAAUUGAUACAAUUUAUUGAAAUUCGUGUCACGUAUGAUGUAUAGGUGGUGAGCCCUCUAACAAAGGUAAAGAGAUUGUGCCCGAAGAUCGAGAAUAGGAGUAUAUCGAACUCCUAGUACUGUGAGUAACCUUACCAUCAUUUUAAUUAUCUAAAGUAUGUUUUUAAUCGAUUUUGGUGAAAUUUUAUGAAAAUGAGUUUAAAUGGUAAAUCUUUGUGUUUUACAAACAAAAUGUAUUUACAUGAAAGGAUUUUAUAAAUUGUCUUGAAAUUGAAUAAUGAUUUUGAAAAAUAGAGUAAUUGGAGACCACUUGUUAUGUUGUAAAAUUUAUUAUUUGAAUUGAAUGGCUUAUGACAAUAUUUGCAUGAAUGGCUAAAUUGAUAUUUGUGUUGAAAUAUAUGAAAUGUGUAUUUAGCCUUGAAAGGUUGUGAAUUACAAUAAUUGUCAUAUCAUGUUAUUGAAUUUUAUUGAUUGGUGGGAUAAUUAUUAGCUUACUGCAGUAGACGGAUUUUCGUGGACUAGCCUAUUAGAGGGGUACGGUAAACCCUGUUAUAUUUUAUCUUGGUUUGAGAGGUGAGUCAAGUAACUCCCGAGGUAUAACUUUUAGAGUUCACUUCACGUCAAACCACCAUGUGAGGGAGAACUCGGCCAAUGCCAAGGAACGACUAUAUUUUUAAAAUAAAAACAUGUUAAUGCGUACGUAACUUUUUAAUAGCCUUGGCCAACUCAGUUUGGGAUAGCCCUCGGCCAAGGUAUCCCUGAUAACUGAGUAUGAGAAUAAUUUUGGUACGAGCCAUGCUUUUAAGAAAUUCAUAAGCCAUACUAAUUACUUGAUUUAAAUAAAUCGAUUUCAUUUGGUUGAAAUAAGUUGAAAGGUGAUAAAUUACAGUUUGAUGAAAUGUUUUAAUAGUCUCAUUUUACUCGACUUUAGAUAUUUUGAAUGAUGUUUGUUUACUCACUAGGAUUUCAUAAUCUCACCACCCUUAUUUCCACCCAGUUCAUGCUCAGAAUAGAUUGUAGAUAAUUGAUAUCGGUGAGGACUACAGUUGGACUUGCCACAUCCAAAAACUGCAGGUUCAUUUUUUUUAUACUUUUAAUCAUUCAUGGGCCCAUGUGUCACUGUAAAUUAAAUUUUAUACUUUGGUUAUCUAUAUUACAACAUGUAUGAAUUUAUUUUGCUUUUACGCUGUAAAAAUUAUUUACAGAGUAUUCUAAAAAUAUUGUUUUAUUAGAAAAUUGAAUAUUUUAUUCUAAUAGUCAUAAUUUCAUUUUAAAUGAAUGUUUUAGACAUCCAAAAUUAUUUUUGAUUAUGAAAUAUGUGUUUUCCACUUAUAUACUACAUUUUUAAAUGAUUUUGAGAUUUUUGGGAAAAAUGACCAAAAUACCUCUAUGAGACAAAAAUUAUUAUUUUAUUUGUUUUAAGUUGAAAACAGCUUAAAAUCUUUUAGAAAACGAUAUUUAGCAACGGUUACUCACAGGGGAAAUAAGAAGUUGAUAUUAAAGCCUUACGGGGUUACAGUUGACAUUCUGGGUAAUGAGUGUCGAUCGGGACGACGUGGCGGUUGUCACGGGCUCGAAGGGAGUACCGAGUCGUGAUAGUUUUAAUGUUUAAACUUUUUUUGAUGAUGAUUUGGGAUAUUAUGGAGAAGUAAUUUAGUUAUCUAAGAUUAUGAUUGAAAUCAAUACAUAGUCUGAAUUAUUUAUCUCUCUUUUACUUAUGUUUAAUGAUUUUAAGUUGUUUAUUCUAUCAUGUUCUUAAUCCUUCUAAUUGUUUGAUCAACAAUUAGAUUGAUCUGGAAACCUAAGUUAAGCCUUGACAAAAAAGAUUUAGGGUAGACCUUGAAUAGAAUAGCGUAUGAUCAAAUGCACUUAGUUGAUUAGGUGGUUUGAUUUGCAUAUAAGGUAGACAUAUAACUAUAACUCAUACGUAGCUAGGAUUAGAGCACGAACUUAAUGAAUCUUCUUCUAUUUAAUUUGCAUAUAUAUAUAAUAAGCUACUUGCAAGAGAUAUUUUUAUAAGAAACUCGACAGAGACUUGUAAAUAAUUUAAGACUCUAAGUUAGCAACUUAAUCCAUUAAACUAAGUUAAGAGAAAGAGAUAAUAAUCAGAUGAAGCAUUGAAAGAUAUCAUAAUCUUAGAUCUGGUAGUUAAUUGAAUUUUCUAAACAAAUUUGUUGAUUAAUUGUAAAUUAGUUUAGUUUUAAGUUUGUUAGAUUUAAUUUUGCUUUUUAAUAAUUUAAUUUGUAUUGUUUGGAUAAAAUUAGGUUGUGUUAAUUUUAGUAAUUAACAGUAAGAAUUAAUUCAAUUUUCUGUAGAAUCGACACUCUACUUAUUAUUAUAUUGUCUGUUUGAUAUGUAUACUUGCGUGGGUAGAAAAUUAAACAAGUUUUUAGCGUCGUUACUAGAAAAUUGAUUUUUAAUUCUUUCUUGUUAAUAUUAAUACCAAGCAUUCCUAAUCUUACUUCAAACUUUUUCUUUUAAUUUUCAGGUACUAUUGGUCAUUAUAUGUGAAGCACCAGAAAUUUGGAAAUUGUUCGUUUUGAUUCAAAAAUUGAAAAAACUUUUCAAAGACUUUAGAGGAAAAAGCAACAAGUUUCUACUCCAAGGAAAACAAUGGCUGAUUAACAAAGGGAAAAGACCAAGUCUUUGAGGGAAUAUGUUGUCCCACUGGUACAAGGUCUCCACUCUAGUAUCCAAAGACCUCCUAUUCAAGCCAACAACUUUGAAAUUAAACUAGCCAUUAUUCAGAUGAUUCAGACUUUUGUUUAUUUUAGGGGUUGGCCUAAUGAUGAUCUUAAUGCUCAUAUUGUGAAUUUCUUAAAAAUUUGCGACACAUUCAAGGCUAAUGGUGUUUCUAAUAAUGCCAUAAGAUUGAGGUUUUUCUUUUUCUUAAUGAGAGAAAUAGCAAAGAGCUGGUUAAAUUCGCUUCUUACUAGUUCCAUUAAUACUUGAGAUAAUUUGGCUUAGAAAUUCUUAGCAAAAUUCUUUCCACUUGCCAAGAUAGCAAAGAUGUGGAAUGAUAUCACCUCUUUUAUGCAGUUUGAUUCUGAAUCACUAUAUGAGUUUUGGGAGAGGUACAAGGAUUUGUUAAAAAGUUGUCCUUACCAUGGGUUACCUAAGUGGCUGUAAGUUUAGACUUUUUAUAAUGGGUUGUUAAGACCUAUUAGAACCACCAUUGAUGCUAUAGCUAGAGGUGCACCUAUGGGUAAGUCCAUUGAUGAGGCUUAUGACUUGCUUGAGAAAAUGACUUCUAAUAACUACUAGUGGCCAUCAGAAAGAUUAGGUGUAAGAAAAGUUGCUGGAGUUCAUGAGCUUGAAGCAAUUAAUGCUUUGACUUCAUAAUUGGCUUCUCUUAUAAAGAAAAUUGAUAAAUUGAGUUAAUGUUGUUCAGAGCCGCUUUGUGACUUGUGAACUUUGUGGAGAAGGUUAUUCCAAUGAUAAUUGCCUUACCUAUUCUAAAUUUUGUCAGUUUGUUGGAAAUAAGCAACAAAACAACAAUCCCUAUCCCAACACUUAUAAUCUCGGUUGGAAGAAUAAUCCUAACUUCUCAUAGAGCAACAACCAAUGAUCUUCAUUAACAUCUAAGCUAAACUUGCCACUUGGAUUUCCACCUAGAGCUCCUAUGCUAGAGAAAAAGCCUACAAUGAAGGAGAUGUUCAUGCAAUUCAUGGCAAAGACAGAUGCCUACAUGAUAAAGAAUAACGCCUUGAUGACAAAGACUGAUGCCUACAUGACAAAGAAUAAUGACAUCAUUUAAAGUCAACUAGCAUCAAUGAAAAAUUUUGAGAUACAAGGGGCCAACUUGCUAGUGCUAUCAAUAAUAAACCUCAAGGUACCUUACCAAGUGACACAAAGCCCAACUUAAGAAGAGAAGGUAAAAAACAUUGUCAAGUAAUUGCUCUCUAAAGUGGAAAAAAGAUAAAUAAAGAAGUAAGUGGUAAGGAUUUAAGUUCUGAAAUUUCAAUUCAAUUUGAUGAAAAAGAAAUUGAAAAAUAUGCUAAAAAAUAAAUUGUGGUUGAAAAAUCUAUUGAAAAGUCAAAAAAAGAAAAAUCACAAUUAAAAACUACUCCCACGCCUCCACCACAUUUUCCUUAAAAAUUUUAAAAAAAAAAACUUGAGAAACAAUUUUAGAGAUUUCUUAUUGUGUUUAAAAAGUUGCAUAUUAAUAUUCCUUUUGUCAAAGCUAUGGAGCAAAUGCCAAGAUAUGUUGAAUUCAUGAAAGAUAUCCUAUUUAUAAAGAAGAAAUUGGGUGAGUUCGAAAAUGUAGCACUUACUGAGGAGUGUAGUGCCAUUAUUCAGAAUAAACUUCCUUCAAAACUUAAAAAUUCAAGUAGUUUUACUAUUCCUCACACUAUUGGUACUCUUUGUUUUGCUAUAACUUUAUGUGAUUUGGGUGUAAGUAUAAAUUUGAUAUUACUGUCCAUUUAUAAAAAAUUGGGCUUGGAAGAGAUUAAGCCAACUUUUGUGACUUUACAGCUUGUUGAUCGAUCCCUCUCCUAUCCUUGUGGCAUUAUGGAAGAUGUUUUGGUGAAAAUUGGUAAGCUAGUUUUCCAGUAGAUUUUAUUAUACUUGACAUGGAAGAAGAUUAUGAAAUAUUGAUCAUCCUUGGGAGACCAUUCUUGAGAACUGUCAGAGCUUUAAUUGAUGUGGAAAAAUGUGAGCUUACCUUAAAGGUUGAAGAUCAAAAGGUAACAUUCAAUAUUUUAGAGCUUUAAAAUUUUUCAUUGAACAUGGUGAGUGUUUCUCAAUUAAUGUGGUAGAUAGCAUUACUAAUAAUGUGUUUAUUGAGAAUUAUUCUAAUGAUCCACUUGAAGCAUGUAAUAAAGAUUAUAUUAUCUUAAUUAAGUUUAUUGGUCAAAUUUUAAAAAUAUGGCCACCUAAUUAGAUUAGGCAAAUUUAAUUAAGGAAAGUUUUACUAAUUUGUUGGAGAUUCUAGUAAAAUUAGUAAUCUAAAAUUAGUAAGAAUAUAAACACAAAAUUAUAAAAUGGAUAAAACUAAUUCCUAAAAAUGUUUAGGACUCAUGAUCAAAUUUAGAAAGUUUCUUAAUUUGAUUAGGACCAAAUUUGGAAAGUUUCCUAAACUGUUAGGACAAAUUUGGUAAGUUUCUUAAAAUGUUUAAGGCGUAUAAAAUGAUCAUAAAUCCUUUUUAAAAUGUUUAGGAUGGAUUUCUAAAUUAGUGAAGUUUCCUAAAUCGUUUGAGAUUUUAAUUAAAAAAGUUGAAUUAAAAUGAACGUACUAUUCUAAAAUAAAUUCAAAUGAGAUUUGAAUUGGCUAAAGUUAUUAAUUAGAUUACUCUCUUUAGUGAGUGAUUUCAAAUAUGUGUUUUCCAAAUCAUCUUUUAUAUUAGAGGACAUCAAAUUGUUUAAACUUUUAUCUUCAAAUGUUGAAUGAUAAUUUUUGAAUGAAAUGCAAGAUCAUCAUCAUAAAGAACAUGUCUACUUUUACAUGUUCAUAAUUAGAUUACGGAUGUAUGAGGAUGGUUAUGGACUAUAGACCCAAUGUGAUUGUGGAUGUUUGGUUAAAUUGCUAUUUAUGGUUAAAUUGCUAUCUUUUAUUCUCUAGAUUUGUAAAAUUCUCUCAUCAUCUUACUCUCCUUGAAUAUAAAAUAAGGUUUCUAAAUUCUCUUAUAAUUUGAAAAUAGGAUUAGAUUAGGAAAAGAAUUUUGUAAUCCAAAGAUGGAGAUCUAAAGCACCAUGAAGAUUAAAGGAGGAUGCAAGCUAAGGCUUAUAAUGCAUAAUGUAUUUUAUCACUUUGGAUUUGACCAACAAGUUUCCUUUGGUGACUAAAGGAAACUAGAGUAGAAAAGUUCACAAUCAUCUUAGUAGAAUAGCAUAUGAUAGAUUUACUUUAUGCGAUAAAUUAAAUGCUAUACAUGUUAAAUAAAUGAAACCCGAAAAGAAAUAAUAAAAUCCCUCAUGAAAUAUUGAGUCACAUGCCACGUAUGAUCAAGAUGCUUUACACCUUCAUAGAAAAAAUUAGAGUUCUUCAUAUCAGAGACUUGUUGAGUAAACUCCAGGUCAAACAUUAUUAAGAAUAUGUUUAUACUAUGAAAGGUGGGUCUUACUUAACUAGUUUUAUAAAAUCUGAAUGCUUAGAAACUUGAUUAUUAUGAAACUAGAGGCAAUGACUAGGCGAAACAUUUACGAUAUGUUUUGGCAAAGAGUUGCCACCACCUAAUUGAAUCUAUGAGUCACAUAAGUGAUGUGAUCAAUAAGCUAAAUUAUCCACCUAACUAGGCUUAUCAUGGCUUGUUGGGCAAACUUAAGGUCAUGGUAAGUUGAACGGGGUUCUAGCCCAUUAGAAAGAUUCUAGUAAAGACUUUUUGAAAUGACUUUGAAGGUUAUCAUUUUAAAUAAAAUAGUGGGAGAGCUAUUUAAAAUAUUAAAACCUUAUUUUAAAUAGUCCAUGCAUAAUAUUUACAAAUCAUUUAUUUAUUAAGGCUUACUUAUAUACAUUGCUAUGGCUAAAAACCUAUCACUCCAGAGCAUCUUGGAUGCAAAGCAAACCCACUAGACCAAACCUAAUGGAAUGUUACUAAGAUUGAAGAAUUGCUCUCAAGAAAAAGGUUGUUUAUCUGUAGUAAGCUUUGCCAUAAACCCUUGUUGAGGUCAAUGGAAAUAAAGCAUGGAAUGCUCAUUAAACUCAUUAAGCCACAUAUAUGAUAUUGGCUACUAUGACUCCAAAGCUUCAAAAGCAACAUAAGAACAUGUAUGCUAAAUGUAUGACUUUGCAAGCAAAAAAAUUGUUUUAUAAAAAAGGUCAUUCCAAAUAAAAUCAUAUGAACUAUAUAGUAUGAGAUAAUAUCGAAAUUGUUUUUAUGUGGAAAAAAAAGAUAAUUUUGUUAGAACUAUGAUUUAAGGUUGCUAUGCUUUGCAGUGAAGUUAGAGUAACGAGAUUUUGUUAUGAGUAAUGAACUAAUUUUCGAUUUAGUUAUAUAGUCUCUACCAAAUCUAUUCAUAGUUAAAAAUGAAUUUCCAUUUGAUGGAACUUUCAUUACCUUAAUUAUUGAAUACGAAAGACAAUUACAAUAAGGACACAAGCUUGGGAAGUGUUCUCAAGUAUCUUUAUGGUAAAGAUGGACAAAUAAGGAACUAAAGUUGUUUCCUUGACAAAGUUAAACAAGAAAAAACUUAUAGAAAUUUUGCUUUGACCAAGUUCAUGAUUGAGCCAUGAGUUGCUAGUAUUGUACCAACAUCAUAAGUAUUUAAUAUUAGAUGUGGGUUACAUUUAAGUAAUGACUAAAGUGUUAAACAAUAGUAGUAAAUCACUGUUUAAUAUAAAUGUCAAGAAAAACUUAUAAUCUCAUAUGAUCUCGAUUAUAGCAUUGGAUUCUUAGUCAUUAAAGUAAGAAUUGAAGUAUGAAGAUAAUUAGAUCCUUUUGAUUUGGUAUCACUAGGAGGUAGUAAUUCUUAUCUACAUGACUAAAUCAUUUUUCAUGUAAAUUGAAUGACUUGGUAUGUUUUAAAGGUCUUAUACAUAUAGAUGUAUAUGAACCAUUAAACAUAAAAUGUUAUGGAAAUGUUCCUAUUUCAUUAAGUUUACACAAGACCAAAUUAAGAUUUUGUCCUGUAUACUUAUAGAAAUAUAAUUUGGAUUGUUUGAAAUGUUCAUAGAAUUAAAAGUACUCUUAUUAAGAUCUUAUAUUAAUAAGGACUACUCUUACUUGUAAUUAAUUGAUUGAUUAAGGAUGAAUGUAGAUUCAUAAUAAAUGGAAAAUUCUUAUGAAUAGAACAUAGAUAUGUUUAUUCAAAGAAAAAAAUGAAUUCAUAGAGUGAUAUAAUUCGGUCCAUACUUAUGUAAUACGUUAAGUCCGUUAUAACAUUCCAAACUAAUAAGAUUAUAAUACAUAUGUAGCUUCGUGGAAUAUUCAAGAGGGUUUGAAUAUUACUCUCACCAAGAAUCUUAGAUUUAGUGGGAGCAUGAUGAUACUUGGAAAGAAGUUUUUUAAGUAUCACUUAGUUAUAAAGGAAUCCAACAUUUACGAUUUUACAUAAAGAUGUAUAAUCUAUAUGUUUUCAAUGUAUAAUAACUCUAUGGAUUUAAUAAGAUACAUUGAAGAUGUAUUAUUUAUAUUAGAUGUAUCUACUAAAUAUGACUUUGUCAUUGAAGUUGUAUACUUCAUUUUGUCAAAAGUAAUCUAAAAGAGUUGGAUUUGAAAGAAUGUACGAAUGUAUUUGUCUCAUACACAUAAGGAGAUUAGUGGGAGUGAAUUUAAUUCUUUGGUAAUACAAUUACAUGGAAUGCAAUGUGUAUAUAAAGAAGCUGUCAAAAUCUAAAUGGAUUAAGUGGCACAAUGCAAAGUGACAUGUGCAUAUGAUGCACAUAACAUUGUCCAAUUGGAAUGGUUCCAAGGUUUAAAAGGGACUACUCAUGUAUAUAAUGACAUAUACAUCUUAUUACAAAAAGCUUUAAUAGAAGAAUAUUUAGAUCAUUAGUUCUUAGAACUAAUAAAGGGUUCAAAACAUCGUCAGUGUAACAAUAGAGCCAUAUCAAUAGAACACAAGUCUCAUGUUAGCUUUAAAAUUAUUAUAGUUUUGAUUAUGACAAAAUGAUCAAAUUUUGCUUGAACAUUAUUUGAGUAAUCCUUGGUAAUUUUUUGAAAUGAUUUAACUCCCAUACAUUUGUUCUUACAUAGACACAAACUUGACUCUUGAAGUUAUUGAACUAUAUCUAUGAGCUUGCAUGACUUAGGUGUAUGAGUGUUUAUGAUUCUCAUUCAUUAAAGUCUAAUUUAAAGAUUAAAGGAAAAUCUAGAUGCACUCAUUAAGGAGGAGUUUUGAAUAUCUUGUUCGAUGAUGAAAAAGGAGAGAAUAAAGACUAAAUGAAAUAGAGUUUAAUAGGUCUUCAUGUUUAAUUUAUGUGUGUGAUGCUCAGUUUUGGUUUUGUUGAAUAUUAUGUAAAGAAAACUAGAUGCGUUGAUUAAGGGGGAGCAACUCAUUACGCAUAAAGAUUUGAAGCAUUCAUAUUAAACAUAGACAUUGUACUCUUAAUCUAGGAGUGUUUUGUCAUCAUAAAAAUUAAGAGAUAGAGAAUGUUGACUCUAAAUGUUUUUUAUAAUAGCAAAAUAUUCCCAUUUAUUAGUGUCUAAUAUUAUUGUUUAAGUGUGCAAGAGAAAGCUAAAAUUCAUUAAUAUAUUUGGUAUUCGAAAGCAAGUCAAGGUGCUUGUUCAGUUGCAAGAUGGGUUAAUUGGUUAAACAAGCAAACAAGAAAAAGCUUUAAUGAAAGCAGAUUAGUCUUAACCGAUUAACACAAAUCCUUAAUUGAUUAAAGCAAUUCUGGGCACUGUACUAAGGACAGACAUAAAGGUCUUAAUUGAUUAACACAAGAUUUACUCAGUUAAGCGGGUGCCGGAUACAAAUAGAAGCCUCUUAGUCAGUUAACCAAGGAAGUUAGUUAACUAAAAUCCAAAAGUGAAGAUCCAAAAUGAAGGCAGUCAAAUUUGUAAAGAACAAUUCAAGAAGUCUUUGAUGACUAACAUAUCUCAUGGCUAUUUAAGGAAAAUGGAAGAUCAGCGUUACCAAGCUAAAAAAAGAAUUAAUCAAAUAAAGAAAAGUUGGUGAAGCUAGUUGCUCUAGAAAUAGUAAGCUCUUAAUCGAUUAAAGUCUUUCUUAAUCAAUUAACAGAGUAAAGCAAACUGCGAGACAAAGAAGACUUAAUUGACUAAGAAGUAAAGUUAACCAGCUAAAAGCUUACUGUUAGAAAAUUUGAAUUCAAGCAAAAAAGGAUAAAAUAACCGCAAAAAACAACUAGUUUUUGUCUCCAACGGCCAGAAGUGAAUUCACAAGGAUUUAAAGGCUCUUCAAUUGUCACGACUCGGAACUCCCCUCGAGCUCGUGACAAUUUUCGCGAUGCCCCGAUCGACACUCAUUACCCGAAAUAUCAACCGGAACCCCGCAAGGUUUUAAUAUCAGCUUCUCAUUUCCCCUGUGAGUAACCAUUGCCGAAUAUCGCGUUCAAAAAGAUUUUAAGCAAUUUACAACUUAAAACAAACAAAAUAAUAAUUUUCGUCUCACAGAGGUAUUUUAGUCAUUUUUUUCAAAAAUAUCAAAAUCAAUUAAAAAUGUAGUAUGCAAGUUAAAAACACAUAUUUCAUAAUCAGAAAUAAUUUUAGAUGUCUAAAACAUUCGUUUAAAAUGAAAUUAUGACUGUUAGUAUAAAAUAAAAAUAUUGAAUAAAAUAUUUAAUUUUCUCAUAAAAUAAUAUUUUAAGAACACUGCAUAAAUAAUUUUUUUUACAGCGUAAAAGUAAAAUAAAUUCAUAUAUAUUGUAAUACAGAUAAUCAAAGUAUAAAAUUAAAUUUACAGUGACACAUGGGCCCACGAACGACCAAAAGUAUCUAGAGAGAUAAACCUACAUAUUUUGAGGAUGCCAAUCCAAUUGUAAUCCUCGAAGAAAUAAGCUAUCUACUGACUAUCCUGAGCCUGAAAUAGGUGAAAAGGAGGGUGGUGAGAUUAUAUAAUCCCAGUGAGUAAACAAAUAUCAUUUAAAAUAUCUAAAGGCGAGUAAAAAGAGACUAUUAAAAUAUUUCAUUAAAUUGUAAUUUAUCAUCUUUCGACUUAUUUCAAUCCAAUGAAAUCAAUUUAUUUAAAUCAAGUAAUCAGUAUGGAUUAUGAACUUCUUAAAACUUUGGCUCGUGCCAAAAUCAUUAUCAUACUCACUUAUCAGGGAUACCUUGAUCGAGGGCUAUCCCAACUGAGUCCGCCAAGGCUGUUAAAAAGUUUUGAACACAUAAAUCAUGUUUUUAUUUUGAAAAUAUAGCCGUUCCUUGGCGUUAGCGGAGUUCAUCAUCACGAGGUGGUUCGGCGUGAAAUGAACUCUAAAACUGUUAGCCUCAGGAGUUAUCCACCAGCGUCUCUCAUACUGAGGUAAGAUAUAACGGGGUUUACCCUGCCCCUUUAAUAGGCUGGCCCAUGAAAACCCGCCUACUGUAGUGGCUAGUUAAAUAACCCACCAUACAAUAAAAUUCAUUCUAGCAUGACAUGGCAAUUAUUGUAAUUCAUAACCUUUCAAGGCUAAAUACACAUUUCAUAUAUUUCAACAUAAAUAUCAAUUCAGCCAUUCAUGCAAAUAUUAUCAUAAGCCAUUUAUUCAAAUCAUAAAUUUACAACAUACCAGUGGUCUCCAAUUACUCUAUUUUUCAAAAUCGUUAUUUCGUUUCAAGACAAUUUAUAAAAUCAUUUUAUUUAAACAUAUUUUAUUUGUAAAAUCAAAAAUUAACCAUUUAAACUCAUUUUCAUAAAAUUCCAUCAAAAUCGAUUAAAAUCAUACUUGAGAUAAGUAAAAUGAUGAUAAGGUUACUCACAGUAUCAAGAGUAGAAAUACUCAUAUUUUCAGUCCGCGGGUAUAGUCCUUUACCCGUAUCCAAUGGCUCACCACUUAGCCAUAAUCCAUGACACAUAUUCUAAUUAAAUUGUGUUUAACAGUCAUAAGCUAUUUUAGCCUCGAUGUAUAUGCAUGAUAUGAUAUGCAAAAAUGUCUAAAUUUUGCCUAAACGCGGUGUUAGCCUAUUUCGAUCUUUUAUCCGAUAAAUCGAUAUACGCGUCCGUUUAAACUCCAAAUUAAUUUUUUUCAGUUUCUAUACCUCAAUUGCACCCAAAUUGACUUAAUGUCCCCUAGUGUGGUUCAAAUUAUCAGUCUCGAUAGUAAAUUAUGAAAAUACCCCUAGUGGGUAAAAAUUCGUAUUUUUGCUCUGAAAAUUCCCAUUAUUUUUCUAGGCUCAUAAUUCAUCAUUAUUCAUCAUAAUUCCUCAAAUAAACAUCAAGAUCAGCAGCUAGGGUAGUAAAAAUGCAUGGGUAGUAAAAAUCACAAGGAAAAUCAAUGAAAUUUACCUUUUUAAUGCUUGAUUUCUUGAUUUCUCUUGAUUUUCCCCAAAUUUUUCAGCUAGGGUUCUUAUUUCUUUUCCCCCCUUUUCUCUCCUGGUUUGGACGGCUUGAAGAAGAUGAGAAUUCUUGAAAUUUUGACAUUUUUAAAGGCUAAAAUAAUAUAAUAUUAUUUUAUUUAUUUAUUUUUUGUUUUAUUAAUUCCUUAAAUUCUAGUCAUCCAUUUAUUUCCAAAUUUUCACCAUACACUUGUCCCACAUAUCCAUAGCUUAGAUAAAAUUCUCAGACUUAUCCAAAGUCUUGGUGGAGUAAUUUUUUCAAAAUUUACACUUUUAUCCCCGUAAAAGUCAAAAAUUACAUUUUUACCCCAAAAAUUGAAAAAUUGCCCAUAGAUAUAUUUUUCAUCCCUCAUACUCAUACCAUUCGCCAAUUUGUCAAAUUUUAUCUAAAUUCUCUCAAAAUCGCAAAUUUUGUCCGUGGGUGUCAAAAUUAUGAUUUUGCCCCUACACUUUAGAAAUCACUGAAAUUAAACUUUUUCACUGCCAAACCCUCAAAUUAUACUCCAAUAAGUCAAAUCGGGCCAAAAAAAAUCUUUUUUAAAAGUUCCCAUUGUGUUCUUAGGUGGCAAAUGACCAUUUUACCCCUAGAUAGUGAAAAUUCCGGUUUGACUUCAAAUUGAUCCACUAACUCCAAAUCACCAUAUUAAACCAUUCUAGGACUUUAAAAUUUUCAAUUUCACCCUAAAAUCUCUAUUUGAUCUAGUUCGAGGCUUAAAUCAACUUUAUUGUACCUUUAGGUGUAAUACCGAAUUUUGUAAAUUUUUCGGGACUCUCCUAGCAUGCAAACAUGCUAUCCAUCACAUGUAUGUCAUGAAAAAUAUUUUACAAAGUCAAACUUGACAUCUUCUCCCACAAUUGGAUCAACCAUGUGAUCUUUCUUCAUGACUGAUUUCGACAUCCGGCUAAAUAUUAAUAUUUUAAUAUUAUUUCAUUAAUAAAAUAUUAUUUUAUUCCAAAAAUUUUGUCUUGUCUCUUUGGUUCCUAAAGUUCCUUAUUAUGCCUCAAUUUGCAUCCGACCAACUUUAUUUAUCACCAUAUCAAAGUAUGGGGCAUUUCAAUCUCCCCCACUUAAAUAGAAUUCGUCCUCGAAUUCACGUCGAUGUUGCGUUAACAAUCUCCUUCUAUGAUCUUAUUCCUCUUUCCUUCUAUAAGGACAUUCAAUUUAUUUACCUCGUUCACCUUCAGUUCAAUUAAAUGUUGUAUUUAUGGCAAUUAUCAUCCUUUGAAGCCAGAUCAGUAGUACCUUUCACAAUCAUGAUUUCUUAUAUCGAGUCACUAAGCAUACCUUUAUCACUCUUAUUAAAUUUGAACCGUAACUUCAUCUCAAUUAUACCGAUUUCGAUCACAUAUCAUACUUACUUAUGUAUACCUAAUCAUCAUUUUAUUAAUUUGCUCCAUACCAAAUUUCUCAACCUUAAUUCAUUCAUCUUAUACUGGUCCAUACCCUUCCUUUAAUAGAGUUCCAUUAAGAACUUAAACAAUCCAAGGUUUACCUUCAAAGUCACUCAUAACUUUAAUCGUUCAUUGCAUGUCUGUUAACACUUUAGUUUGCUGACCUCUCUGGACACUAUUUCAAAAUCUCCCAAUUACUGAGAAUCAUUCUUCACUUUAGUUAGUAAAAUUAUCAAUUUCAUAUAUACAUAUGUACAUGCAUUUUCAAAUGUCGACAUCUCUCAUUAUGUAUAGAGAUCCAUGUGUUCACAUGCCUUGGACUACAUUCCCCUUUAUUCAUUAUCAAGCUUCAUUAUCCAAAUUAUCUUCAUUCAUCCUUUAUUCUGUUCUUCCAUACUAAUGUGAUAUCAUUCUCCCUAGACCAAUCUGUAGUUUGUACUUAAAACUGUAAACUUGAAAUAAGGUUCUUCUAAGUACUUUUCAAUGUCAAUACGAAUUUCACUUCCAACUUACAGCUUCUUUUUUACAGCCACAUAAUUUAGUGCUAGCUUCCACAAAAUCCGUAGCAAAACUCUUCUUGAGUAUUUCCUUGGAAAUAUCUACCUUAGACUUAUGUCUCACAGCAUAUGAUCACUUAACUUGUGACUUAGCCAUUUGGCUCCUUAGCAAAUUUCAAAAUCACACAUCUCAUACUAAUCUCGUAUAAUUUUAUAAUUCUUCCUGAAAGAUGUUUAAAUAUUCUUGAAACAUUUAAUCACUUAUUUACUCUUUCAUACUCCAAGUAUAUCAUUUCCAUAAAGGCAUGCCCAGCUACUCAUGCUUCAACUUAUCUCCAAGGGUUUUUAUCAUACCCCGUAAUUUACUUAUGUUGUCACUAAUCCUUUCCUUUCAACAAAGUCAAGACAAGAUUAGUACAUUCUCAUAACAAUAUUUCAUAUAAACUCAUUUGCUAUAUCAUUCUUGAAAUCUCCAUUCACACUCUCAUCACUUGGUAUUGACAUCUCUUAUCAACAUCUCAUAUAUUCAUCUAACCUUUCCCUCACUUCCUCUUUAACCUUUUACAAGAUUCAUGUUAUUCCUUAAGAUUUGACUUUAGUCAACAUAUUAUUUCUUUUUAACAUUCCACAUGUUAAUUUUUUUUUUGUAGCCAUCUCAAAAACUCUCUAACUUUUCUUUCUCUUACAUGCCCAAAUAUAAGGCAAUAAAGAAACUCUGUAAUUUCACUCAUCAUUUUUAUCUUAAUACCUCCCCAAUGCACUUAAGACUCCAACAACAAAGCUUAGCAUCAAAACCAACAACCAUAUUUCAACUCGUGAGUUUCAUCUUUAUGCCGCUCAUAAUUUAUUCUUGCUUUCUAGCCAUUAGGGGUUCUUAACGCGACAGCAUUUGAUAGUCAGUACUAUGGCAUUGCAACUAUUUGAAUUCACUUUAUUCUAGCAACUCUUUCACCUUUAAAACUACUACCUCAAUUAUUCAUACUCGUGUGGCUUCCCUCUGAGUCUAUACCACAAUUAGCAAGACUAGCUUUCUAUCACAAGUGGGCGAUCAGAACAUUGAUUUAACGUAUUUAUUUUGCAGCUACCAUUCAUAUAACUUUACCAUAUCAUUUAGUACGAAUUUGAUUAAGCAAAAAUCUCUAAAUUUAUUUAUCGCUACAUGUAUCUCAGAUUGCACAUCACUUAUCAUCAGUCAAUAAAUCUCACUUUAGAACACUCUUUCCAUAUUGUAUAGUAACUUCACCAUAUAGUAUCACGACACUAUUUUCCUCCAUUCUACUAUCAUGCAUACUCCAUAGAAUUUAAUUAAAAGAUUUAUGUACCUUAACUAAUGCCAAUUCCAUUUAAUCAUAUCUUAAAUACUCCAAACUUGUAAAUUACAACUCCAAGUGUAUGUCCAUAUAUUGAUAAUCUUUAUAUAUUUCAUGAUCAUGAAAACUAUAACUUACAAACUAGCUUUCAAUCAUAUGCACACUAUUAGAACAUUAAUUUCAACAUGUUUAAUUCUCCUUUGGUGAUAUGUUAAGAUCAUUCCUGGAUACAUUUCCAUAUUGACAUUGAUAUGCCUUUACCAUAGCAUUUAGUGCAAAUUUGAUGAAGGAAUUGUCUCCAAAUAACUCUUAAAUACAUAAUUAUCAAAUUGUACACCACUAAAUGUUAAGAUCUUGACUUUAUCCAUCAAUAACCAAUCACAUUUGUUAAGCGAAAAAUUUACUUAGUUAUUACAUCUUGCCUUUGCGAUCAUAAGAUCAAAGUUGUCUUAAACUUAGGAUGAAGAAGUUCUCUCUCGUAGAGUAUAUCCAAGCAUCAACAUUUUCUAAAUUCCUUACUCUGGGGAGAUCACCUUCAAGAUUGAUCAUUCGUAUCAUAGGCUACACUUUGAACCGAAUAAACUUUUAAAUUGAUCUUUCAAGUAAUUCGUAAUCAAUCUCAAUUAUAGAACUUCAUAUGGCACUUAGAAUAGAUUCGACAUUUCCAAGUCAUUUAACCUCAAGCUACCAAUUCCACAUUUAGUCCUUUAAUCCUUUGGCUCCCUAUUUUUCUAUGCAUAGCUAAGUUCAAGCCCAUCCUUAGAGUAGAUUUGUUUACUAACUUCUUACUUCAUGACCACACAUCAAUUAUAGUAAUCAUUGACACUCACUCUCGAGUUAAUUCACGUGCUUAUAUCCAUGAACUAUAAUAGGUCCAAUCAAUUCUUGAAAUCUCAUAGUCCCCAAAUCUUUUUCCAAUUGACAACCAUGAGUUCAAUUAUAACUCCACCAAAUGAAUAAAUUAUCACGGCCUAUUAGUCCAACUUCAAAUUUCUCCAUCCUUAAUCGGAGGGAUAUAUCAUUUCAUUAAUCUUUCAUUAAGAGCAUUCGUUUUAAGAUCUCUCUAACACUGGCUAGUGUCACGGGUAGCAUCUUAAACCCGGACGAUGACCCUACUUAUGACUUUUGCAUGACAUUAACAAAGAAGUGGAUUACUGGGAACAAGAGUUCAUAUAGCUCCCUGUUUAUGACUUAUGCUCCCAUAAGAUCUAUAAGAAGAAAUAGAACGAGUCUAAACAGCUCCAAAUUCUAUGUGCAGAUGCAUGUAUUCUAUUCUAUCUAGCCUAACUUAACUUAACUCGGGCCACACUGACACUGUAGUUUUUAAAUAACUUUAAAACCAAAAACAAUUACCUUUAAAACCAAAAGCUCUGAUAUCACCAAAAUUGUCACAACCCAGAACUCUCAUCGAGCUCGUGACAACAGCCGCGAUGCCCCGAUCGACACUCAUUACCCGAAAUGUCAACCGGAACCCCACAAGGCUUUAAUAUCAACUUCUCAUUUCCCUUGUGAGUAAUUAUUGCCGAAUAUCGCGUUCUAAAAGAUUUUAAGCAAUUUCCAACUUAAAACAAAUAAAUUAAUAAUUUUCGUCUCAUAGGUGUAUUUUGGUUAUUUUUUUUCAAAAAUCUCAAAAUCAAUUAAAAAUGUAGUAUGCAAGUGAAAAACACAUAUUUCGUAAUCAGAAAUAAUUUUGGAUGUCUAAAACAUUCGUUUAAAAUGAAAUUCUAACUGUUAGUAUAAAAUAAAAAUAUUGAAUAAAAUAUUCAAUUUUCUCAUAAAAUAAUAUUUUAAGAACACUACAUAAAUAAUUUUUUUACAGCGUAAAAGUAAAAUAAAUUCAUAUAUAUUGUAAUACAGAUAAUCAAAGUAUAAAAUUAAAUUUGCAGUGACACGUGGGCCCACGAACGACCAAAAGUAUCUAGAGAGAUAAAUCUACAUAUUUUGAGGAUGUCAGUCCAAUUGUAAUCCUCGAAGAAAUGAGCUAUCUACCGACUAUCCUGAGCCUGAAAUGGGUGGAAAUGAGGGUGGUGAGAUUAUAUAAUCCCAGUGAGUAAACAAAUAUCAUUUAAAAUAUCUAAAAGCGAGUAAAAUGAGACUAUUAAAACAUUUCAUUAAACUGUAAUUUAUCAUCUUUCGACUUAUUUCAAUCAAAUGAAAUCAAUUUAUUUAAAUCAAGUAAUUAGUAUGGCUUAUGAACUUCUUAAAACUUUGGCUCGUGCCAAAAUCAUUAUCAUACUCAGUUAUUAGGGAUACCUUGAUCGAGGGCUAUCCCAACUGAGUCCGCCAAGGCUGUUAAAAAGUUUUGAACACAUAAAUCAUGUUUUUAUUUUGAAAAUAUAGUCGUUCCUUGGCGUUAGCGGAGUUCAUAAUCACGAGGUGGUUCGGCGUGAAGUGAACUCUAAAAUUGUUAGCCUCAGGAGUUAUCCACCCGUGCCUCUCAUACUGAGGUAAGAUAUAACGGGGUUUACCGUGCCUCUCUAAUAGGCUGGCCCACGAAAACCCGCUUACUGCAGUGGCUAGUUAAAUAACCUACCAUACAAUAAAAUUCAUUCUAGCAUGACAUGACAAUUAUUGUAAUUCAUAACCUUUCAAGGCUAAAUACACAUUUCAUAUAUUUCAACAUAAAUAUCAAUUCAGCCAUUCAUGCAAAUAUUAUCAUAAGCCAUUUAUUCAAAUCAUAAAUUUACAACAUACCAGUGGUCUCCAAUUACUCUAUUUUUCAAAAUCGUUAUUUCGUUUCAAGACAAUUUAUAAAAUCAUUUUAUUUAAACGUGUUUUAUUUGUAAAACCAAAAAUUAACCAUUUAAACUCAUUUUCAUAAAAUUCCAUCAAAAUCGAUUAAAAUCAUACUUUAGAUAAGUAAAAUGAUGAUAAGGUUACUCACAGUAUCAGGAGUAGAAAUACUCAUAUUUUCAGUCCACGGGUACAAUCCUUUACCCGUAUCCAAUGGCUCACCACCUAGCCAUAAUCCAUAACAUAUAUUCCAAUUGAAUUGUGUCUAACAGUUAUAAGCUAUUUUAAGCUCGAUGUAUAUGCAUGAUAUGAUAUGCAAAAAUGUCUAAAUUUUGCCUAAACGAGGUGUUAGCCUAUUUCGAUCUUUUACCCGAUAAAUCGAUAUAUGCGUCCGUUUAAACUCCAAAUUAAUUUUUUUCAGUUUCUAUACCUCAAUUGCACCCAAAUUGACUUAAUGGCCCCUACUGUGGUGCAAAUUAUCAGUCUCGAUAAUAAAUUACGAAAAUACCCUUAGUGGGUAAAAAUUCGUAUUUUUACUCUGAAAAUUCCCAUUAUUUUUCUAGGCUCAUAAUUCAUCAUUAUUCAUCAUAAUUCCUCAAAUAAACAUCAAGAUCAGCAGCCAAUAUUCCGUUAGAAAAUUUGGCAUAAUGGGUUUCAAUGGGAGAAAAUUAUAUCUCUAGCUUAUUUUUGCUAUAUUUCAAUAUAACNNNNNNNNNNNNNNNNNNNNNNNNNNNNNNNNNNNNNNNNNNNNNNNNNNNNNNNNNNNNNNNNNNNNNNNNNNNNNNNNNNNNNNNNNNNNNNNNNNNNNNNNNNNNNNNNNNNNNNNNNNNNNNNNNNNNNNNNNNNNNNNNNNNNNNNNNNNNNNNNNNNNNNNNNNNNNNNNNNNNNNNNNNNNNNNNNNNNNNNNNNNNNNNNNNNNNNNNNNNNNNNNNNNNNNNNNNNNNNNNNNNNNNNNNNNNNNNNNNNNNNNNNNNNNNNNNNNNNNNNNNNNNNNNNNNNNNNNNNNNNNNNNNNNNCUUUUCUCUCCUGGUUUGGACGGCUUGAAGAAGAUGAGAAUUCUGGAAAUUUUGACAUUUUUAAAGGCUAAAAUAAUAUAAUAUUAUUUUAUUCAUUUUUUUUGUUUUAUUAAUUCCUUAAAUUCUAGCCAUCCAUUUAUUUCCAAAUUUUCACCAUACACUUGUCCCACAAAUCCAUAGCUUAGAUAAAAUUCUCAAACUUAUCCAAAGUCUUGGUGGAGUAAUUUUUUAAAAUUUACACUUUUGCCCCCGUAAAAGUCAAAAAUUACAUUUUUACCUCAAAAACUGAAAAAUUACCCAUAGACAUAUUUUUCAUCCCUUAUACUCAUACCAUUCUCCAAUUUGUCAAAUUUUAUCUAAAUUCUCUCAAAAUCUCAUAUUUUGUCCGUGGGUGUCAAAAUUACGAUUUUGCCCCUACACUCUAGAAAUCACCGAAAUUAAACUUUUUCACUGCUAAACCCUCAAAUUAUACUCCAAUAAGUCAAAUAGGGCCAAAAAAAUCUUUUCUAAAUAUUCUCAUUGUGUCCUUAGGUGGCAAAUGACCAUUUUCCCCCUGAACAAUGAAAAUUCCAGUUUGACUUCAAAUUGAUUCUUGAACUCCAAAUCACCAUAUUAAACCAUUCUAGGACUUUAAAAUUUUCAAUUUCACCCUAAAAUCUCUAUUUGAUCUAGUACGAGGCUUAAAUCAACUUUAUUGUACCUUUAGGUGUAAUACCGAAUUUUGUAAAUUUUUCGAGAUUCUCCUAGCAUGCAAACAUGCUAUCCAUCAUAUGUAUGUAAUGACAAAUAUUUUACAGAGUCAAGCUUAACAUCUUCUCCCCCACUUGGAUCAACCAUGUGAUCCUUCUUCAUGACUGAUUUCAACAUCCGGCUAAAUAUUAAUAUUUUAAUAUUAUUUCAUUAAUAAAAUAUUAUUUUAUUCUAAAAUUUUGUCUUGUCUCUUUGGUUCCUAAAGUUCCUUAUUAUGCCUCAAUUCACAUCCGACCAACUUUAUUUAUCACCAUAUCAAAGUAUAGGGCAUUUAACCAAUAGUCAAAAAUCAUAAAGAGAAGCCAUCCAAAGUGAUUUUGAACUUAGAAAACCAAAAACUUUCUCUUUACACUUGUAUUUCACUCUCAUCUUUUGAAAAAGUGUGUAAGCUUAACUUUGUACAUAUUAGAUCGACUAAGUGAUCAGUUGAACUUCAUUUUUUCUCUAUUUCUUAUUUACUUAGAGUGUGAGAAACACUCUAAGGGGUAGAUCAAGCUUGGAUUAGCUUGGUUGUUGUUAUAGGUUCUAACUUAGCCUUUGAAAAGUUAAUUUUGGGUUUUGGUUGAUCCCAUGAAAAAUCACUGUUAAAGGCUGUGGCUGAGCCUGUGAAAAGCCAUUGUAAAAUCUUAGUGGAAGCUUGGAAGUUCCACUGAUUUUAGUGAAUUGGUUUGAAAUCCCUUGAUUAGGAGAUCAAGGUAGUGGAUGUAGGUCAAGGGGACCAAACCACUAUAAAUCAUUGUGUUUUAUCUAUCUUUUUUUAUUUUCUUCUUACUCUUAGCACUUAAAUCAUUCAUUCAACAAGCUUUAAACUUCUAUUUUCAAAUUCCUUUAAUCAUCUCUUUACUUAGAAAAAUUUUUUGUGUCAUUCUAAAAGUGCUAUUCACCUCUCUUUAGCACGCUAUUUGAGACUAAUAAGGGGUAUCAAAGUCUAACGCUCAUUUUUAAAGCUUAACAUCUUUAGGAGAGAUCCAAAUGGCUCUAUAAAAAUCUUUUCUUGCCAAGGGUCAAUACACAAAUAGACCACCUUUAUUUGAUGGAUUAAACUAUCCUUAUUGAAGUACUAGAAUGUCCAUUUAUAAGGAUGUCAACGGGUAGGGUACCUGUUAAUUUUCAGAUACAUGAACCUUAAUCCUAUUAAAAAUCAAAUACCCUAACCCUAUUAACUACCCUAAUAAUUUUAAAAAUUACUAUCCUAACCCUAACCCUAAUAAAUUUCCACUACCCUAUAAUUACCCUAACUUGUUUAAAUACCCGAUUAGAUAAAAAAAUUAUUAAAAUUUUCUUCAUGAAUACCUAAUUAUCCAAUUAACUAUUCUAAUCUAAUCCAAUUAACAUAUGUUAUAAAUUAAUGUAAACAAUGGUAUAUAUAUUGUAAUUAAUAAUUUUAUAAAUUAUAAUUUUUGUAAUGUUAAUACAAAAUAGAAAGUAAAUAUGUUUAUAUUUAAAGUACAUAUAUAUACAUAUACACACACGCACACAAAUCAAAAAUAUUUUAAUAUAUAUAUUAGCAAUUAUAUUCUUUAUAAAUGAAUCUAAUAUAUAUAUAGAUAAAGUAUAUAUAUUAAAAGACAUUACAAGUUAAUUAAUAAUUAUAGUUUUAUGAAU